rnacentral:lncRNA from 1 species
UUAACUUAGGAAAAGGUUUUUGAAAGGGGAAAUGAAGUUUGAGAAAUAAAAGUAGGCCUAAUUCUUGAGAUAUGGUGAAGAAGGGAAUGAGGAAGCAUGAAAAUGCAUAAAGUGGGAGAAAUUGUGUCCCUUUCUAGGUGCUUCUUUUGCCAUGAGAAGGAGGAAACAAACAAUCAUUUGUUCCUUCACUAUAGAGUGACUGCCCAGAUAUGGUAUAUGUUUCAAAGCAUUAUUCAAGAUCCUUGGGUGGUGCCUGAGCAUACUGCUGACCUAUUAAACUGUUGGAUGAGAAGAGAGGGGAGUAAAACACAGAAAAAAUGGUGGAAUCUAGUUCCAUCUUGCAUAUGGUGGUCAAUUUGGAAGGAAAGAAACAAUAGGUGCUUUAAGAAAAUUACUAACCCAAUGCAGAAAGUUAAAGAAAACUGCAUUAAUACUCUAUAUUUUUGGUGUAAAGAAGAGGGUAUAGAUGAUGUAAAUCAGUUAGUAGAUUUCCUAGGCUAUUUGUAAUCAUGACUACUUCGCCUUGGAAUUUUUUUGUUUGGUUGCCAGCAUACCCUCAUUGCUGAUGAAUACAACUUUACCAUUCUCAAAAAAAAAGAAAAGAAAAAAUAGCAAUAGAUAUCUAUGAGAAGAAGUGAGUAAAGAGUCUCCUAACACUCAACCUACAAAAAUUUAGUACAACAGCAUAAUAAUCUACAAGUGGGCUACAUAAUUAAAAAAAAAUGGUACUCUUUUUGUUUUUGGUUUAGCAAGUUUUUAUUUGACGCUGCUUUAUAAAAAAGUUUCUUCUUUUCAUCAGUAUUCUCUUCUUUUUCUUGUUGAAUUUUGCUUAUCUUUGAAUACUUAUGCUCAAAAUACAUGAUGUUUAUCUUCUUCUUUUUUUGCCUUUAAUAAUGUUCUAAUUUAGUUCAGUUACCAUUAUAGAAAAAAAGUAGUAGUUCUAAUUUAGGUCAUUUAUGGUUCAGAACAUUCUUUUAUCUACGAUGGAGACUGACCCGAUUCUUAAGAUUGCUGAUUUUGGUCUCUCAAGGUAAAGAAAAAAAAAUGAUACAAGUUACCUUUUCAAAAAAAAAAAAAAGGUAAAGAAAAAUGAUACUCUCUCUGUCCCAAUUUAUGUGACACAUUUCGAAUUUCGAGAUUCAAACAAGUUUAUCUUUGACCGUAAUUUUUUCAUAUAUCUUUUAAAUAUUUUCAAUUAUCAAUUAUUGGGACUUAUAGUACUUUUAAUGUAGUUUACAAAUAUAUAAAUUUCAUUUUAAAAAAUUUGAAGAUUUCAUGAGCAAAUUCUCGGUCAAACUUAAACUGUUUGACUCUCGAAAAGCGAAAUGUGUCACAUAAAUUGGGACAGAGGGAGUAUGAAUUAUUAAACAGGGAAUGUCAAAUGCCUUGGCAUCAUUAACAAUCUCUGUAUCUUUUUAUUCUUGGAACAGAAUGUUAAAUCCGAAUGACCUUGCAGAAACAGUUUGUGGGUCCCCUUUUUACAUGGCUCCAGAAAUUCUAGAAUUUAAAAAGUAUGAUGAUAAGGUAAGAACUAUUUACUGUACAACUAUGUUACACAGAUUGGACAAACUGACAUGUAUUCUCUUGAAUAGGUUGAUAUGUGGAGUCUCGGUGCAAUUUUUUUUGAACUACUUAAUGGUUACCCUCCCUUUCGUGGUAGAACUAGUGUUCAGGUAAUAGCAUUUCUUUAAUGCAAAUUGCAAAGGCCCUUCCUCUGUUUGUUAGUUCACCGUCUUCAAUUAUAUUUUUUUAAAAAUAGAUACUGCGGAAUAUCAAGGCAUCUCUACGUCUUCCUUUCUUUGAGCCGAUUCUUCCUCAGUUGCACCCGGGUUGUGUUGACUUGUGCUCAAGACUAUUGUCUAUUGAUCCAGGUUUGCAGAUUUCUGUACGCAAUAUCAUUUGUAUUGUCUUCCUACCUCAUUAAAGUUUGAUAAAUCACCUUAUAUCUGCAGAGAAACGGAUCUCUUUUAAAGAGUUUUGUCGACACGACUUUUUGAAGAUAGACGAAGGGGGAGAUAAGAGGUUCUGUUAGAGGUCAAAAACAUCCGGAUAUCCCACUGAGCAGAAGUGCCCACCAGUUUAAUCAUCAAUGUACAAAUUUGGAUUCUGUUUUUCAGUUAUCACCUUAGUGGGGUCAGCUCUUUUUUUCCUGCUGAUUUACUCUAGGCUAGUCACCAGUCGAUCAGUUCCGAAUUCAUGUAAAGGUGUCAUUAGAAAUCAUCAUCAUCCCUUAUGCUUCAUAUGUCUGUAAAUUGUCAUAUACAACCUGAUAACAACUGUACAUCCUAGUUCUCUUUUCACCGAUGAUUCAGUCAUUUUUUACCCUUCUAAUAACUAGCUUCAGUAGCAUUGACUCCUAAACUACUUGCACUCUCCUGCUUCAAGCCUUUCAUCUUUAACCAUCAGAAUUGUAAGGACAGAUAAAUGGUUUUCUCCAAAUUCUUCAAAUCGAUCAUAUCGAGCUGGAGGGAUUUCUUCAGAACAACUAGUGUCGGUGUCAUUUGUCUCCAAAACCAUCUAGUAAGGUGAAUUGUAUGUAUCUCUUCAAUAAUACCCGGGUUAACUGCCAACAUUUUCCUAUCAACAGUCACCCAAUCGUCUCCUAUCUCUUUCUUGUACUCAAUCUGCGCGUUUAUGAGAUACUCUUUCCAAGUACAUUUGAUAAGUAGUCUCCAAUGAAAGUAUGAAACUUUCUAAAUCUUCUAUCACAUUGUCGUACUGUUAAACUCUUGGGCGAACAAGUCCAGAAAAUGUCAUCAAAGUAAGUGGGACAUGACAAAUCUGAUGAGUAGACAUUAUCAGAUAAUAUCAAAUUCUCGACUUCAGGUAUGGGAAGAUGAUCAACUCCACUUGCUGCUCGAAACAUUUAGUGAUAUGCUGGAUUAUGAAAGAUGGAAUACGCCAUUUCAAGUCUACAGACAAAUAAUUCAACUCUAUUAGAGAUCUCCGUGAGUGUAUGAACUGAUCAACAAUCCAUAGACAAGAGACAUAGUUUAUGGAAAUCCUGCAUUGGCUUGAAACACUUACAAAUGAUAAAGACGGUAAUCUAUAUGGAACAGAGAAAGCCAAGGAGAGUAACUUGGGCACAUCAAAAAUGGCUUGCACUAAUUGACUGUACUCAGCUAUGCUACAUAGCUAUCAGUUUUUUCUUGAUUCAAUUCUUUUGUUUGUCAACUCUUAUUGAUCUGUAGGGUGAUCUUUUUUUGAAUUUUUUUUAUUUUUGCGUGGGCAUUUUGUAAUUCUUUUCCGAUUAUUCUGGAUUGUGAACUUGAUUUGAUUUGCGAUGUAUCCAAUUGUGGGUUUCUCUGCACAUGCAUCACUCUAAAUGAAAAAUAUAGUUUGUUUUAUGUAGAUUUGGAUGCUUCUAGGGGUUCAUUGAUUUGUUUGUAAAAAUGUGCUGGUGCAUUGGAUUUUGAAUUUUUAUUAAAGAAUUCUGAAAUGAGAUGAUAGUUUUUUUUAUUCGGUUGAUGUUAGAUCUAUUAAUCUUCUUCAUUUGGUUGUUCUCGUCUUCUGGUGGCUCUCUGAUAGUGUAUUUACUUGACUUUGGAUAUGUUGCUUUUGCUUUUUCUAUGGUUUCUAAUCAAUUAGGAUUUUUUUAUCUUAUAAUCUCCUAAGUUGCGUUUGGUUUGAUAUAUUUGAUUUUAGCUUCAAUUUGUUUCUUGGGAUGACCUGGUUCCGAAUUAAACAAGUUCUAGGAUUCGUGUGCAAGCUAUGAGAGUUCAUAUUGUGUCGGUAGUUCGCUGCUGUAGGAGGAGAACUUGCAAAACGAAUGAUGUAGAAAUUUGAUAGAACUAUAUUUUAUUUAGCUCAAGUAUGGAUGAUAAAGUGGUCAGCUCUCUAUGGGGAAGUUGGAAUACUUGAAAUUUGAAGUACAAAAACCAUAAAGUGAAGAAGUUCAAAACUAUAUGGCACUUAAAAAAGAAGUAGGACUAGGAGGCACUGGAAUUUCUACUGUCCCUUCCAGCAUCAGUAGAACUUUCUUCAUUGAAGGGCGAAGUGAUGGUUCGUCUUGAAUGCACCAGAUGCUUAUUUUCACCAUUCUCUCGAAUUGUCUUCUAUCAACCUCCUCGUCCCCGACAAGUUUAUCUAGCUCUCCUGCAGCAAAGCAAUCGUAGACCCAGUAUUCAAGAAUUGACUCAUUUUCAUCAAGGCUCAUAUCAACACACUUCCGCCUACAGAUCAAUUCCAAUAGGAGGACACCAAAACUGUAAACGUCUGCUUUCACUGUCACUGGCAGUUUCCGGUGCCAUUCUGGUGCAACAUAGCCUCUGGUCCCUCUUAUCCCUGUGUAGGUUCUUGUUUGGUCUUUCUUUAAAAGCUUGGCCAUUCCAAAGUCAGAUAUUUUUGCACAGUAUUGAUCAUCCAUGAGUAUGUUCUGAGGCUUUAUAUCACAAUGGAUGAUUUGUGUGUCACACUCGUCAUGCAAAUAUAGGAGGCCCCUUGCAAUAUCUCGAGUGAUGCCACACCUUUCCUCCCACGUGGGCUGUUUUUCUGUUGUGAAAAGUAUGUCCGCAAGUGACCCAUUGGUCAUGUACUCAUACACCAGGAGCCUUCUUGAUCCCUCCAGGCAAUAACCAAGGAGGUGGACGAGAUUUCGGUGAUGUGUCCUUCCAAUGAUUUUUAUUUCAGUUUGGAACUCUGUUUCCCCUUCUACUAAUUCUUUGUCUAGUCUUUUAACAGCUAUCACUUUCUGGUCUUCUGCCAAAAUUCCUUUAAAUACUGUUCCAAAUGCUCCCCUCCCUAACGCUUCUUUGAAACCACUUGUUGCCUGCUCUAGUUCUGCAUAGGAAAAUGCUCGUGGAGCAACAUCCUCACAUAACUGAACACUUCUACUCUCCUGGAUUUUUCUGUAAGUCCAGACAUGAUUUCUGUGAAUGAGGAAUCCAGAGAUGCCUAACACCAACAAAGCAAAAACAGCCAAUGUAAUGCCGGCAAUUAGGAUGUCUAUCCUUAGCUUUUUGCCUUUUGUUUCUUCAAUCAUCUGAUAAAGCACCCCUUCGUUGGGUAUGAAAUUAGUGCCCACCUUGACCAAUACUAAAUUAGAAUUACCCAAGUCUCUCCUUCCAUACCUCAGAGGCAGCCUUUGCUUUCUACACUCUCUGUCUUUGAACAGAGCAGCCUCACAGUUACAAUCCUGUAGACAGGCUUGUUCACAAUCUUCCUUGGUCGUUCCGGCCAAAACAACAUAAGUACUAUCUUCCCAUCCUGUGUUUUCAACUGUUCUCAUAGCAUAGUAUUUGGAAGUGCUCUCCUUUAACCGACAGGUUUCUGCGGUGAAAUUCCUUUCACAGCCUGCGCUCCAAUUUCCUGGCAUUACAAAAUCAAAUCCCGGAAGACACAAACAUUUAGCUUGGUCAUCUAUGUUGGUGCAAAAACCAUUAAGCCCACAAAGGCCUUUUGGAUUACACCUAUCAUUUGUUGAUGACCAUAUCACGGAGCUGUUCUGUUGGUUCAGAGAAUUUGAAUAAAUUCUAAGUAUACCAUCAGCAUCAAUUUUCAGCAUAUAGAUAAUGGUCCUUUCUCUACGGUUGCCUCCUUGAGUUAGAUUUCUUAGACUUUUAGUGGAAUUGAGUAAGUAGAGGAGGCCGUCAUCAUCAAGAUUCAGUGUAACAUUAUUCCCUGCUCCAUAAGUGCCUGUUGAGUAGUAAGAAUAUGAGGCACUAUCUGGUGUAUUGACAGGGUACUGAACGAGGUUCCCAUCAUCUUGCAUUUUGAGACGGAAAAUCCCUAAUGAGGUGUAUUGACAGGGUACUGAACGAGGUUCCCAUCAUCUUGCAUUUUGAGACGGAAAAUCCCGAAAGAAUCAUCUGCUUCCGAGGCACUCGAGAACAGCUCUUGUCCAGCUGAUAUAUGCUGACCAGGUAAAAGGGUGUUUGUUGGAUUGUCAAAACUUUGCCAUAUGAUACUGUGAUCAGAAUUAUAGAGCACAAAGUUGCCAGUAUCCAGCAUGGAAGCUGAAGCAAUGACUUGACCAGAGAGAUUUACGACAGUGAUUUCUUGUCCUCCUACUUGUACAAUGAGCCUUCCAUCAUUAGUUAAGAGCAAGACAGCGUUGCUCGGAACAACAGGACUGUUCCUAUUUGCUGUCCACACUGCUGUCUUCUUAGGCAUACCGACAAUUAAGAUUCCAACAGCAUAGCCAUUGUUUUGUUCAUAAAACCCAAAGGCAAAGCGCCUGGACAGCGAAAACCAUGAUGAAUUGGUAGUAGGUGUUAGAGAAGAGCCAAGAGUUAUAUUGAACUGCCUUUGUUGUGCUAGUGCUACUGCAUGAAAUGCAGAUAAUAUUAAUAACCAUAGCAAAGCAGCCAUAGAUUUUAGCUUUUCUUCUCUUUUUUUUACUUUGAUUUGUCACAAAAUUGAUACACAAUUCAGUUUAUAAUUACAACUUGGAAGGAUCCAAAGACUUGAGCUACUGUAGGACAAGUCAAUUCAUGGCAAUUAGGUAAAAGACGCGUUACAUAGGAGACUUGGAAAUUAUUCAGUCAAUUUUGAGAAAAUAUUGUACACGUCUAAAAGACGGAUAAAUUAUCUUUUUUAAUUCAUACAUAAAUAAUCAGGGGCGGAGCCCACUUACAGUUAGGGGUUCAUUUUCGGCGGAAAAUUAUAUUAUUUAUACAUGGUUAAAAUAAUUUGUUAGGUAUAUAUAGUAGAUGUUGAACCUCCUUCGACUACUUCGUGUGUUUAUUUUUUCAGAUUUUGAACCGCCUUAUUGAAAAUUUUGGCUUCGCCACGAUAUAUAAUAAGGAUGUUUGAGGUAGAUAAUUCAACCUUCUUCUUGAUGUUUAUGUUUUUUGCAUUAUUUAAGCAUCCUCAUUUGUAAUACCAUCUUAUAGAGUGUAUUAUAAACUUUGUGAUGAUCAUAGAAUACUUUGUUUUCUUUACCUCUUAUUUUCGUUAGCCUAGCCCCUUUGCUUGGACUUAUUCAUAAUAAGGAUUUUAUUUUAUUAUCAUAUUAUAUAUUAUUAAAAGUUGUAAGUUUCAAAGUGAAAAGUUGGAUUACCAUUUUGUCUCUCUACUAAAUUAAAUAUCUAAUCAAAUGCUAAUUUUUUAUUUACAUAGUAGUAGAAUUUGAAGUCCUUAAGUCCUUUAAUAAUUAAAUUAUUAUUUUCUUGAUAAAUGAGUAAAUUAAUAUUGCUUUUAAUCAAGAAUUUGAAAAGUUAUGAUUGAUAAAAUAAUGUAACCGAUUUUUUCUUCUAAAAUAACUACAUUGUCCCUUCUAAACAGACUAUUGUUUAAUAUUGAAGUAAAUAAUUUGAAGAGUACAAAUUUCAUCUAUAAAGAUACAUAUGUUUUUUUAAUAUUUCUACCAAGUGUAUUCAUUCCAACUUGAUUCUCUUUGAUGAUCGAUGUACCAAUUCUUUCUUGGAUAAUCGAUGUAUAGAAGAAAUAGCAAUUUUCUGUUUAAGAUGAUAUUUAUCUACGUGCUUGUGAUAUAAUUUUUUUUUUUAGAGAUUUAAGAUUUCCAAUCUUUAUAACAAGUUGGUAGGACCGUAGUGAUUGAAUAAUUGGUAAUUUGUGAAUGUUUUGUUAAUUUUUAAAAAUUAUUAUUCUUACUACAGUUACUUCAUAAAUCAUCUCUUAUUUAUAUAUGAAAUGAAGAUCAAUUCAUAUGUGAUUUGUAACUAACUAUUCUCAAUCCGGAAGUGGAAGAAUUGAAAAAAAAGUUGAAGUAAAAAGAAGAAAAGACACGAUAUUAAAUAUUACUGAUGUAUUUUGUAUUUUUUUUUUUUUUUAUAACUAAAAUUUUCUUUCUCUGUGAAAUUUUAAAAUUUAUUAUUUUUGGUAUUCUGUCCGGAAAAAGAAGUUUUAGCAUUUAUUAAUAUUUUUUUAGCAAAUUUUAUGUAGUAUGGAACAUGAAUUUGAAAUUGUUCUUCUUAUUUGCUUAUAAAGUGAUUUUAUUAUAUGACUGAACUAACCAUGAUACUAUAAUAUAUAGAUAUAUUCCAUCAAAUUCAUAAUGAUUCACUAAACAUCAUAAGAAGGCAUAUGUUGUUCAAAUCUCUAUACUACUUAUACAUAAAAUAAAUUUCAUUCCCCUACAACUUCUUAUACGUAAUUAUAAAAAGAAACUAUAAUUUGUUAAUGAUACAUGUUUUAUUUGUACAAAGAAACAUAUAUUUAAUCACAUCAUAUAAUAUGUUACUUUUAAAAAGUUAUCAUCCUUACUAUAUAAUUACUUAAUAAACCAUCUCCUAUUUAUAUAUGAAAAAUCAACUCAUAUGUGAUUUGUAACUUAAAUAUUUUAUGUGAUUUCUUGAACAAACGUGCUACACACAUUCUUAGAGACUAGUUAAUAAAAAACACUACAUUUACUAUCUAGUAGCAUAAAUUUGUAAAAAGGAAAAUUAAAAAAAAAACAGGUUUUAAAAAUUUUACAGUUGGAUAUCUUUAAAUUGACAGGAGUUAAUGUGGACAAAGUUUUUGGUAGAAAUUAAUUGUGCAAUUUUGGGAGCCUUUCAAGUCUUCUUACUUUUCGGUAAACAGGAAUUGUAUGCGUUGACUUAGUCUAAGUCUUUCUUACAUUUCGUGAUUAAGAAAUCACGUUCUAUAGUGCAAAUUUUUUAAUUAAUUUAUGGUGAGAAAUUUUUUUGUUUUUAAUAGUGCAUAUUCGAUUGAAUUUAGUAACUUAGGUUAAAAUCAAUAAACUUUUUUUUGAAAUUGAAUUUGGUAUUGAUGGAAAGAGAAAAUAUGCUUCAAAGUAAAAUUUGCAAGGUAAAAAAAUAGUAUAUGAACCAAACAGUAAACAUAAGGUAUAUUUCGUUGUGGUUGAAAUGAUAAGUAUUCUUUCAUUUUUAAUCAGUCUCGGAUAUGAAGGUGCUUUUGGUGUGGAGUUGGUUUAUCCUUUAUUAAAAUAUGACUUCCCGGCACAAAACCAAAUUAGUUAGUUGGAAAAAAAAAAUAGUGGAAAAGAAAGAUAAACAAAAGGUAUUAAUGUGAAAACAAAAUGAAUCAAAGCUUCUUAUCAAAGUAUUUAAAUGUUGAAUUUUAACCAUUUAGUUUAAUCUUCAUUCUUAGUGUCUUACAAGUUACACCUAAUGCUUUGUUGUGAAAUAGGGGAAGGAAGAAAGUGAAAAGGAGAAGGGAAAGUUGAAUGGAAGAUAUGUGAUGGAGAAAGUAUAUAGUAGGGGAUUUGGGAAGGAAAAACUAUUUGUUUCCUGGCAUUACAAAAUCAAAUCCAGGAAGACACAAACAUUUAGCUUGAUCAUCUAUAUUGGUGCAAAACCCAUUAAGCCCACAAAGGCCUUUUGGAUUACAGCCAUCAUUUGUUGAUGAGCAUAUCACGGAGCUGUUCUGUUGAUUCAGAGAAUGUGAAUAAACUCGAAAAAUACCAUCAGCAUCAAUUUUCAUCAUAUAGAUGAUGGUCCUUUCUCUAGGGUAGCCUCCUCUGGUUAGAUUUCUUAGACUAUUAGUGGAAUUGAGCAAGUAGAGGAGGCCGUCAUCAUCAAGAUUCAGUGUAACAUUAUUCCCUACUAAAUAGGUGGCUGUUGUGUAGUAAGCAUAUUGGCCACUAUCUGGUGUAUUGAUAGGGUACUGAACAAGGUUCCCAUCAUCUUGCAUUUUAAGACGGAAAAUCCCUAAUGAGUCAUCUGUUUCCGAGGCACUCGAGAACAACUCUUGUCCAGCUGAUAUCUGCUGACCAGGUAAAAGUGUGUUUGUUGGAUUGUCAAAACUUUGCCAAAUGACAUUGUGAUCAGAAUCAUAGAGCACAAAUUUUCCGGUGUCCAGCAUGGAAGCUGAAGCAAUGGCUCAAGAGGGAUUGAUGACAGAGUUUUCCUGGCUUCCUACUUGCACAAUGAGCCUUCCAUCAUUAGUUAAGAGCAAUACAGCGUUGCUCGGGACAACAGGACUGUUCCUGUUUGCUGUCCACACUGCUGUCUUGUUAGGCAUACCGACGAUUGAGAUUCCAACAGCAUAGCCAUUGGUUUGUUCAUAAACCCAAGGCAAAGCGCCUGGACGGUGAAAACCAUGAUGAAUUGGUAGUAGGUGUUAGAGAAGAGCCAAGAGUUAUAUUGAACUGCCUCUGUUGUGCUAGUGUUACUGCAUGAAGUGCAGAUAAUAGUAUUAACCAUAGCAAAACAGCCAUAGAUUUUAGCUUUCUUUGUUUUUCUCUGAUUUAUCACAAAAUUGUGAUGUUAAUAUGUUAUAAAUUCAGUUUAUUAUAACAUCCAAAGAUUUUAGCUACUGUAGGACAAGACAAUUUAUGCCAAUCAUCAUAUCAUCAUAUAUUAUUAAAAGUGGGAAGCUCCCAUCUUCAAAGUUGAAUUACCAUUUAGUCCUUGCAACAAAUUAGAAAGUAAUUAAAUUUUUAAUUAAUUAAAUAAUAUUAUUGAGCAACAUUUUUUGUCAAUUAAUUUGAAAGUUGAAAAGACUUAAUCACUUAAUUAGGAAAUUUGAAAGGGUGCAUGAAAGAUGAAAAGACUAUAAUCAGUUAUGUACGGAAUUUAAAGGGUUACAUCACUAUUUUGUUGUUGCCGGAACUAUGUGGUUAGUGCUGGGCUAGCAGAAAAUCAAAGUUUAUCAGAAGCCUGGUCUAAAAUUCCUGAAAAAUUAGAACAGAUGCAGCUUACCAACGGGCAAGCAGGUUCCGUGGGUUAGGAGGCUGCCUUUAAGUGAUAGGGGGCCCUCAUUUCAUACAAGGGAAAGCAGAAGGAUGGGACUGUCGUGUCGAUCACAUUCGAUUGAGAGUUCUCACCUCUUUGAGCUUAGGUCAGCAAGAAGUCAUCCCCGAGGAAAGAAUAAGUCUUCGGCGAGCCGGUACCCACUACUUGUUCCAGAAACCUCUUUUCUCAUAGCUCAUAGGUAAGUAUGAAAUUGAAAUGGCUACAUCAGAGUACCAUGACAGACAUACACUCAUUUGGAUAGUCACAAAGAGGAAGUAGGCUGGAUGGAAUCCAAAGAAUGAAACCAUCUUAGCUUCUUGGACAAAUAUGCUUGUUGCCUUGGUAGGAGAAUCAUGAGUUGGGAUCGAUAUAUGAAAAACAAACUUCAGAAGGUGGACUAUUUAUUCAUGGUUGCCGGCAUACAAGCAAAAGUUCAGAUAAUAUAUUAUUACAAAUCUGGCAUAUUGCUGAAAACAAUCUACCAUGAUGAAGGGAGAUAAUUCCCCCCAAUGGUCCCUUAAGAGGGUAUUGUAACAACUUGUUUUCUCUUUAAAAUUUUCAUAUAUGUAUUUAGGCAACAAAGAUUGAGCCAAAUAAUGUGGUUUUAUCUUUAUAAAUAUAGGUUUUAUGUAUAAUUUUAUUUUUUGUUGCAUUUAUAGGUACAUUCUUCUGUUUGUUUCAUUUGAAAUGAUAAUCUUAAGUUUUUCUUUUUUUUUUUAUUUAUAAAUGUACUACAAAUAUAUGAUAGAGAAAACAACUAUUGAUGAAUCGUACUUUAAGCAAGUUCAAUGAGGUAAAUACACAUUUUACACCAUCAAAGAAGAGACCAUACUAAAAUUUCAAGCAAUUAGUUGUAAACUUUUUUAUUAUUGGCCUUGAUUGCCAAAUAAUAAUUAGCUUUAGUAAAUAAAGGUUGUUCGUUUUUGUUAAAGUUUCAUUAUCGCUUAUAUAUGUAAAUUUAUUUUUAAAAUUUUAAAAUAUAAUUUUUAAUAGACUUAUAAAAUAGAAAUAUGUAUAAUCCUCACCUUUAAAUAAACAAUAGAGAAAAAUAGUUGAUAUAUAACGUGUGCUCAUUUUUCUCAAUUACUUUGUAUAAAUUUAUCAUUGGUUUCUUACUAUAAUGACUGUAUAUAUGUCAAUGCAUAAUAAGAUUAUUAUUGUUAGACCCAAAUAUAGAACUUAAAAUAAGGCAUCGAGGCAAACCAAAAAGAACAAAAAGAUAUAUAAGGCUUUUGAUGGGACAAGAACAUUUUCUUCAUAGUCAACAACUCAACAUUAAUUAUUUUCAUAACUCAUAGAACUUAAAAUAAUAAUAUGAUUUUUUAAAUUUAUCUACUCAAUGAUAUGGGCGCGUGUCCAGUAUAUUAAUUCUAUAUUUUAAACUAAAAAAUUGAUAUUCAAAAACUAUACUAAAAGUACUAUAAAUUGCAAUUUUUUCGCAUAUCAAUAUAAUGAAAAAAUAUAUCGUAAAAUGUUAGUCAAAGUUAUUAUAGUUUGACUCUAAAAAGGAAACCAUGACAAUUACAAGUGGACGGAGGGAGUAAUGAACAAAGCUUGAGUGAGAUUAUUAUAUCAUAUCAUAUUAUACUAAAAANNNNNNNNNNNNNNNNNNNNNNNNNNNNNNNNNNNNNNNNNNNNNNNNNNNNNNNNNNNNNNNNNNNNNNNNNNNNNNNNNNNNNNNNNNNNNNNNNNNNNNNNNNNNNNNNNNNNNNNNNNNNNNNNNNNNNNNNNAUUCAAUGUGCAUUAAAUUAUUUAAUGACGCAUUAAAUUAGUUAAUGAUAGAAUUAAGUAAGAUAUGUGAAUGAGAAUGACUCGUACUUUACUCAAAACAUUUUUACGUUUUUGUCAAAGCAUGAAGAAUUCUAAGAGAUGAAAUUCAAUGCACACCACAUUCAUUUACAAUGAAGUAUCUAACCUAUCUAAACGCAAGCAUGCACGAGUCAAAGGAGGCAAUUCAGAAUGAAAGACAUGCAAACCAGAAACGGAGGAAGUUGCCCUUGCAGAUAAGAUGGAUAAAUAGUAUAAAUACCACUCCUAUUUCUAAAAUGGAUAAAGGAAGUUGAAAAACUAAAUUUCAUAUGUCAACCAAAUUACUCGAAGGUAAAUGGCAACUAUCCAUCCAACUAUUUUACAAGAUGGUACAGUUAAUUUCUAAUGUUAGACAGAAUAUGCAGUAAUAGUUUGGCUAAUUCUCAUUCUUUAUUUAGGGAAGAGUUUAUUCUUUUUUUCAUUUGUCGAUACCAUCAUCUAAAUUAACUUUUUUUUAUUUGUGUAAUACAAUAAUUAUAUCUAUUUUCUUUUGCUAUUUAUUGUAAUUCACACUUUAAUUAUAAUGUAAUUUUCUUUUGGACAACAUCUGAAGUUUCAUAUACAAUGAGGAAAAAGGUGAACUUCAUUCGAAAAGUUUUAUAUACACUAUAGAUUUUAAUAGGAGUAUACCAAGAACAUUUAUUAGUCCAUACAACUUUACUCUUCGGAUAAAUUAGUGUACAUCCUAUUACAAUCGUGACUACAUUCAUUCCCUUGUCUUUGUCCUUAUGUUUUGAUUCUAAUUUCUCAUUUUAAUAAGAUCCAGAGCUUUAUAAUAAGAAUGUAUAAAUUAUAUUGUCUUUGGAUUAACAGUUUGACACAUAAAUUUAAUAGAGCUUUUUUAGGUUCAAUCGCAAUUAUUAGGAUAGGGAAAAUGCAUAAGUACCCCCCCAGCCUAUGCCCGAAAUACCAGAGACACACCUAACAUUUACUAAGGUCCUAUUACCCCCCCCGAACUUAUUUUAUAUGUAAUAUUUUACCCCUUUUUGGCCUACGUGGCACUGUCUUGUGGGCCCAGCGCAUGUUGACAUUUUUUUUCAAGGAUAGUGCCACAUAGGCCGAAAAGGGGUAGACUAUUAUAGAUAUUUUAAUUGAAUCGCUUAAAAAAAUAAUACUUAGUUUAGUAAAGAAUUCUACACUUGAUCUGCACAGUCUUUUUAUUUUAUAAUAUGUUUCUUUUAUUAAAAGAUGGACAUACGGACCGUAUUUUAAUCGGUUAACUAAAUUUUUUUCAACAAAUUUUUUUUUGUUAAAUAGAAAAGCUCUAGAGGAGAAAAACUCUCUGCAUAUCUAGAGGAUAUCUAGACUAUGGACAAAGGAAGUUCAUCUGCUUUGUGAGGACUCCUACCAUCGGCUACACGAGUUGUGGUUGUUGCAUAUUCGCUUUCACUAUGGAGAAAAUUGUAAGUCUUCUAAAUUAGUAUUUACAAUUCAAAUACUACAAGUAAAUUUGAAGAGAAGUGUUGAUAUGGACAAAUCUCAAAAUGGAAACAUAAGCCUUGAGAUACACCACAGCAGAAGAUAACUGAUGGCUAGAAGAGGUGGAGAAUGAUGUAGAAAAUUGAUACAAUUAUAAUAAAGUACUCUGCUCUCUAUGGGAAAGUUGGGAUACUUGAAACAAAAAGUGAAGAAGUUUAAAACUAUAUGGCACUUAGAAAAGAAGAAGGACUAGGAGGCACUGGAAUUUCUACUGUUCCUUCCAGCAUCAGUAGAACUUUCUUCAUUGAAGGGCGAAGUGAUGGUUCCUCUUGAAUGCACCAAUGCUUAUUUCACCAUUCUCUCGAAUUGUCUUCUAUCAACCUCCUCGUCCCUGACUAGUUUAUCUAGCUCUCCUGCAUCAAAGCAAUUGUAAACCCAGAAUUCAAGAAUUGCCUCAUUUUCAUCAAGGCUCAUAUCAACAAACUUCCGCCUGCAAAUCAAGUCCAAUAGGACAACACCAAAACUGUAAACGUCUGCUUUCACAGUGACUGGCAGAUUUCGGUGCCAUUCUGGUGCAACAUAGCCUCUGGUCCCUCUUAUCCCUGUGUAAGUUCUUGUUUUGGUCUUUCUUUAAGAGCUUGGCCAUUCCAAAGUCAGAUAUUUUUGCACAGUACUGAUCAUCCAUGAGUAUGUUCUGAGGCUUUAUAUCACAAUGGAUGAUUUGUGUGUCACACUCGUCAUGCAAAUAUAGGAGGCCCCUUGCAAUAUCUCUAGCAAAGCCACACCUUUCCUCCCACAUGGGCUGUUUUUCUGGUGUAAAAAGUAUGUCCGCAAGUGACCCAUUGGUCAUGUACUCAUACACCAGAAGCCUUCUUGAUCCCUCCAGGCAAUAACCAAGGAGACGGACUAGAUUUCGGUGAUGUGUCCUUCCAAUGAUUUUUAUUUCAGUUUGGAACUCUGUUUCCCCUUCUACCAAUUCUUUGUCUAGUCUCUUAACAGCUAUCACUUUCUGACCUUCUGCCAAUAUCCCUUUAAAUACUGUUCCAAAUCCCCCCCUCCCUAACGCUUCUUUGAAGCCACUGGUUGCCUGCUCUAGUUCUGCAUAGGAAAAUGCUCGUGGAGCAACAUCCUCACAUAACUGAACACUUCUACUAUCCUGGAUUUUUCUGUAAGUCCAGACAUGAAUUCUGUGAAUGAGAAAUCCAGAGAUGCCUAACACCAACAAAGCAAAGACAGCCAAUGUAAUGCUGGCAAUUAGGAUGUCUAUCCUUAGCUUUUUGCCUUUUGUUUCUUCAAUCGUCUGAUUAGGCACCCCUUUGUUGGGUAUGAAAUUAGUGCCCACCUUGACCAAUACUAGAUUAGAAUUAUCCAGUUCUCUCCUUCCAUACCUCAGAGGCAGCCUUUGCUUUCUACACUCUCUGUCUUUGAACAGAGCAGCCUCACAGUUACAAUCCUGUAGACAGGCUUGGUCUCAAUCUUCCUUGGUCGUUCCGGCCAAAACAACAUAAGUACUAUCUUCCCAUCCUGUGUUUUCAACUGUUCUCAUAGCAUAGUAUUUGGAAGUGCUCUCCUUUAACCGACAGGUUUCUGCGGUGAAAUUCCUUUCACAGCCUGCGCUCCAAUUUCCUGGCAUUACAAAAUCAAAUCCCGGAAGACACAAACAUUUAGCUUGAUCAUCUAUAUUGGUGCAAAACCCAUUAAGCCCACAAAGGCCUAUUGGAUUACAGCCAUCAUUUGUUGAUGACCAUAUCACGGAGCUGUUCUGUUGGUUCAGAGAAUGUGAAUAGACUCGAAAAAUACCAUCAGCAUCAAUUUUCAUCAUAUAGAUGAUGGUCCUUUCUCUAGGGUAGCCUCCUCUGGUUAGAUUUCUUAGCCUCUUAGUGGAAUUGUGCAAGUAGAGGAGGCCGUCAUCAUCAAGAUUCAGUGUAACAGUAUUCCCUACUCUAGAAGUGCGUGUUGAGUAGUAAGCAUAUGGGGCAGUAUCUGGUGUAUUGACAGGGUACUGAACGAGGUUCCCAUCAUCUUGCAUUUUGAGACGGAAAAUACCGUAUGAAUCAUCUGCUACUGAAGCACUCGAGAACAGCUCUUGUCCAGCUGAUAUAUGCUGACCUGGUAAAAGGGUGUUUGUUGGAUUGUCAAAACUUUGCCAUAUGAUACUGUGAUCAGAAUUAUAGAGCACAAAGUUGCCAGUAUCCAGCAUGGAAGCUGAAGCAAUGACUUGACCAGAGAGAUUUACGACAGUGAUUUCUUGUCCUCCUACUUGUACAAUGAGCCUUCCAUCAUUAGUUAAGAGCAAGACAGCGUUGCUCGGAACAACAGGACUGUUCCUAUUUGCUGUCCACACUGCUGUCUUCUUAGGCAUACCGACAAUUAAGAUUCCAACAGCAUAGCCAUUGGUUUGUUCAUAAAACCCAAAGGCAAAGCGCCUGGACGGUGAAAACCAUGAUGAAUUGGCAGUAGGUGUUAGAGAAGAGCCAAGAGUUAUAUUAAACUGUCUUUGUUGUGCUAGUGUCACUGCAUGAAAUGCAGAUAAGAUUAAUAACCAUAGCAAAGCAGCCAUAGAUUUUAUCUUUUCUUUACUUUGAUUUGUCACAAAAUUGAUACACAAUUCAGUUUAUAAUAACAACUUGGAAGGAUCCAAAGACUUGAACUACUGUAGGACAAGUCAAUUCAUGGCAAUUAAGUAAAAGACGCGUUACAUAGGAGACUUGGAAAUUAUUCAGUCCCGUCAAUUUUGAGAAAAUAUUGUACACGUCUAAAAGACGGAUAAAUUAUCUUUUUUAAUUCAUACAUAUAUAAUCAGGGGCGGAGCCACCUUACAAUUAGGGGUUCAUCUUCGGCGAAAAAUUAUAUCAUUCAUACAUGGUUAAAAUAAUUAUUUAGAUAUAUAUAGUAAAUGUCGAACCACCUUCAUCUACUUCCUGUGUCUAUUUUUUCAGAUUUUGAAUCGCCUUAUUGAAAAUUCUGACUCCGCCACGGUAUAUAAUAAGGAUGUUUGAGGUAAGAUAACUCAAUCUUCUUCUUUAUGUUUAUGUUUUUUUCAUUAUUUAAGCAUCCUCGUUUGUAAUAUCAUCUUAUAGAGUGUAUUAUAAACUUUGUGAUGAUCAUAAAAUACUUAGUUUUCUUUAUCUCUUAUUUUCGUUAGCCUAGCCCCUUUACUUGGACUUAUUCACAAUAAGGAUUUUUAUUUUAUUAUCAUAUCAUCAUAUAUUAUUAAAAGUGGUAAGUUGAAUUAUCAUAUUGUCUCUCUACUAAAUUAAAUAUCUAAUCAAAUACUAAUAUUUUAUCUACAUAGUAGUAGAAUUUGAAGUCCUUUAAUAAUUAAAUUAUUAUUAUUUUGAUAAAUGAGUAUAUUAAUAUUGCUUUUAUUCAUUAUGAUGAAUCUCAUAACGGAAGAAUUUGAAAAGUUAUGAUUGAUAAAAUAGUGUAACCGAAAUUUUUCUUGUAAAAUAGAUACAUUUUUCCUUCUAAACAGACUAUUGUUUAAUAUUGAAGUAAAUAAUUUGAAGAGGUGCCACUAAAAAAAAAAUAAUACAUACAAAUCUCAUCUAUAAAGAUGCAUAGGUUUUUUAAUAUUUCUACCAAGUGUAUUCAUCCAACUUUAUUAUGAAGGGCAUAUAUGCUCUAGUUUUUGGACGGCAGGGGAAUCAAUGUCCCAAAAAUAUGACGGAGGGUAUAUACAUAUCAUUUACUAUAGUUUGGAGGUAUAUUUGUCCUUUUUCCCAUUAAUAAAAAACACUACAUUCACUAUCUAGUAGCAUAAAUUUGUAAAAAAGAAGAUUAAAAAAAUAAGUUUUUAAAAUUUUACAGUUGGAUAUCUUUAAAUUGACAGGAGUUAAUGUGGACAGUUUUUGGUAGAAAUUAAUUGUGCAAUUUUCGGAGCCUUUCAAGUCUUCUUACUUUUUGGUAAAUAGGAAUUGUAUACGUUGACUUAGGCUAAGUCUUUCUUACUUUUCGUGAUUAAGAAAUCACGUUCUAUAGUGCAAAUUUUUUAAUUAAUUUAUGGUGAGAAAUUUUUUUGUUUCUAAUAGUGCAUAUUCGAUUGAAUUUAGAAACUUAGGUUAAAAUCAAUAAACUUUUUUUAAAAAUUGAAUUUGGUAUUGAUGGAAAGAGAAAAUAUGCUUCAAAGUAAAAUUUGCAAGGUAAAAAAAAAGUAUAUGAACUAAACAGUAAACAUAAGGUAUAUUUGUUGUGGUGGAAAUGAUAAGUAUUCUUUUAUUUUUAAUCAGUUUCGGAUAUGGAGGCGCUUUUGGUGUGGAGUUGGUUUAUCCUUUAUUAAAAUAUGACUUCCCGGCACAAAUCCAGAUUAGUUAGUUGGAAAAAAAAUAGAGGAAAAGAAAGAUAAACAAAAGGUAUUAAUGUGAAAACAAAAUGAAUCAAAGCUUCUUAUCAAAGUAUUUAAAUGUUGAAUUUUAACCAUUUAGUUUAAUCUUCAUUCUUAGUGUCUUACACCUAAUGCUUUGUUGUGAAAUAGGGGAAGGAAGACAGUGAAAAGGAGAAGGGAAAGUUGAAUGGAAGAUAUGUGAUGGAAAAAGUAUAUAGUAGGGGAUUUGGGAAGGAAAAACUAUUUGUUUCUUGUUUGGUUCAAAGAGGUACUCACUCCGUCCCAUUUUAUGUGAGAUAGUUUGACUCGACACAGUUUAAGAAAAAAAGGAAGACUUUUAAAACUUGUGAUCUAAAAUGAACGAUAGAAAUUUGUGUAACUACAAAUCAUUUCAUUAAGGGUAAAAUAUAUAUUUUAAAGUUAAAUUGUUACUUAAUAUAACUCUUUUUGGAACUGACUAAAAAGGAAAGGAAAUCAUAUAAAUUGGGACAGAGGAGUACUAAAUAAGAUAGUUUGUUACAGCUUGGGUGUUCAUAUGCCAGCUUGGGUGCACCUCGACUCAUUUACGAAACAACUUGUUACAAACCACAACCUCGACUCAUUUACGACUGAUUUAUGUAUUCUGAUAAACAUAAACAUGAGAAUUACUCAUAAGAAGACAAAUAUAUUGUGUUUUUAAGAAAGUUAAACAAAAAGUUGAAGUUGCGUCAUAUCAUGCCUAAUCAUCUCUCCCCAUUACUUAUUCGAUCUACUUCUACCUCGCAUGUAAAUGUAACCAUCCACAAUCGACCUCUUACACCUCCGGGCAUCUCCUCUUCACAUGCCCAAACCAUCUCAGUCUUGCUUCUCGCAUCUUGUCCUCCAUUGAAGUCACUCCUACCUAGUCCCGGAUAUCUUCAUUUCUAACAAUUCACAACCUAGUUAGAUGUUCCAAACUUUCUAAAGUAGUUUGGCCUGUAUCAUUGUACACACCAGGAAGAAUUAAGUCAAGAGAGAAAAGGACAAGUAAAUAUGCUCCAAGAGGGCUAAGUUCACCAUCAAUCCUAAGCAUGUCUAGUUCUGCAGUUCCAUUGAAAGUCCUAACUGAGUGGAAUGUUGAAGAAAAUAAUGCCUUCAGGAAGAGUAUAUACAUUCAAACAUCAGUUUUCACAUUUAUCAGGAAUUGGAAAAUUUUCACAAAGUGACUGUGCUAGUAAUACCCACUUGAUCUUUAUUCAUACAAGAAAAACCAUUAGGAUGGGACCAUUAUCAUACAGAAUACAACAGAAAGCCAGACAAAAGUUAAGUUUCAGUCUGUCUACCAAAAUUUUGUAGCAGAGUGACAACAUAUUGAUAAGAGAGAACCAUUAAGGUUCUAGAGCUUUGAGAAAGCUUAUCUUGCUAAACCAUUUGAAACUUAAUAAAAUAGUUGAUCAACUCACAAUAGUAUUUAUCUAGCCAGUGAUCAUUGUUCCAGCACCUUCAUCAGUGAGAAUCUCAAGAAGUAAGGAAUGUUGCAGCCUUCCAUCGAUAAUACUUGCAGUCUUCACCCCUUGAGCCAAAGACCUCACACAACAAUUCACCUUGGGGAUCAUCCCACCGGCAAUCUUGCCAUCAUCUGUCAUCUUCUUCACUCCUUUUAUGUCAAUCUGCUUCACCAAACUCCCAGGAUCAUUACGGUCUUCCAGAAUUCCAGCCACAUCUGUCAACAAGAGUAGCUUCUCAGCUCCAAGAGCGGCUGCCAACUCACCUGCUGCUGUGUCUGCAUUAAUAUUGUAGGAUUGACCCCUCUUAUCAGCUGCAACAGACGCAAUCACUGGGAUAUGGUAAUUGUCAAUGAGAGGACGCAGUACACUAGGGUCCACACUAGCAAUGUCACCAACAAAACCAAGUUGUUCAGAGUUGGGGGAAGGACGUGCAGUUAAAAGGUGGCCGUCAAUUCCUGAUAACCCCACUGCAGUUGCCCCAGCCUUGUUAAUCAAGGAAACCAAAUGUUUGUUGACUUUACCCACCAAGACCAUUGAUACAAUCUCCAUGGUUGAGGCAUCAGUGACACGAAGGCCAUUCAAAAAGUUAGGUUUGAUACCUAAUUUACCAAGCCAUUGGUUGAUUUCAGGACCACCCCCAUGGACAAAGACAAUGCGCAUACCAACACAGGAAAGAAGGACAAGAUCAGCAAUAACAGAGGCCUGAAGUGCCUCAGAUUUCAUAGCAGCUCCUCCAUAUUUCACUACAAUAGUCUUGCCUCGAAAUUUUUGAAUAAAUGGUAGUGCUUCAGAAAGGAUUUUCACUCGGGUUGCUCCAGGGUAAGAUUGAGUAUCAGGUGCAACGACGGAUUCCAACGAAGUUUUGAGGCAUGAGGCCUGAAAAGGGUUGCUAAGAAUGUUUCGAUUGGCUUUGAUAGCUGGAAUGGAUUUUGGAAAAAUGAGACUGGAAUCUGGAAAGUUGGAGACUUUGGUGACUGGGGAAGAGAGUGGGAGGGUUUUAGCAGCCAACAUCCUCUAUUCCUUUACUUCCUCCCCUUCUCUAUUGAGUUUAAAUAGCAGGGGAAGUGUAACACUAUAAGUUCUUAAAGACCGUUCGUUUAACGGGGUCAAUGCAUCAAAGAAACCUGCAACCAAAACAAGCCAUCAGUUAGCACUUGAACCUCAAAAGUAUCCCACAUAAGAAAAAUAUACUUGAAAACCAGCAUAUUUGAGAAAGCCCAAAAACAUAAUUGGGAAGAAAUCAAUCAAAUUAGAUACAUAAGAUACUCUAACAAAAUUCAAAAAAAUACCAAUGAAACCCUCUAGGUUCAUCAAUAAGAGCAAAGUUUCUUAAUUUUCACAAAGUUAUGAAAAGAAAAGUAACACAAACACAUUAAAACAGAGGGAGCAAAAAAAAGUAAGCUACUAACCCAAUAGAUUAAAACAACUCAUAUGUAAUUCAAAAUUCACAACAAGACUUAGCAUAUACUGGCUAAAUCGGUCUCUAACUGGCAUUUCAUCAAACAGGUAAUAGCAGUAGAAUCAGAGACAUUUCAUACAAUUAAAACUGAGCAUAUAACUGUCAAUCAGAAACUUAAACAUCAUACAAUAAUCCGUUCAAAUACAUUGAAAUCCGCAUAUCUAUAUUUUGCGAUUAGGCACAAAUCCCUAGAAAUAAAUUCCAGAAGAAGAAGAAGACAUUUAAAGGGUUAGUGUACCUGGAAACAGUGCGUGUCUGUGUGUGUGCGGCCGUGAAAGAGAGGAGGCGGCUGUCUAGAAACGGGAGCUCAAUUUUCUCUUCUCCGAUAGAAAGAUUCUACAGAAAAAUCUGUUGUUUAAAUCAUUUGUGUUUAGUAGUAGUAGUAGUAGUAGGUGGUGCCUAAAUUAUUAGAAAAAGUAAAAGAAGAGAUAAAUGAGAUUCAUGUGGGAAAAAUACAUACAAAAUAGUCCUUCAUGUUUAAAGGCUGUCCAAGGAGGUUCAGGUGAACACUUUGAGAUGUUAUGAUGGGUUUGAUUUAUUUUGAUUUGAAUGUAAAUUAAAAUAAGCACACUAUUCAAAUUUUUAAAUUAUAAAUGGUCUUGAAAUAAAAAUUUAGAAUUGUCUUUAACUCAUGCUUGGUUAUUAAUCUUGAAAUAAAUUAUCAUGCAAUGAUAAAAAUAACUUGAGGUCCCUCAAAUCUUUUUUCACGGUAAAUUGUAUUUUUAUAAAUAAAUAAUUGCUUCUUAGAAAUCAUGUAAGUAAAUGUUAUUUUUAAUACAAUAAACCAAAUCGUUAGUAAGAAAUAAUACCCGGAUAACUAAUCUCAUCAUAACUAAUAACAACAUAACUUGUCUUUCAAACCAAGCGAAACCUAAAAGCAUGGGCUAAUUAAGUCUGAACCAAAUCUAAAAGGGAUCUCACUAACAAUUACUAAAAUCAUGUAGUCUUCGGAUUUUUUUAAGAUUGUCGAUGGGUAUGUGUUUGAUCCUUCAAUGGUAAAGUUAUCUUAGAAGAUGCGACAUAGAUAUAAUAACAUUUUUGAAAAAUCCGAACAACUAGUGUCGGUGUCAUUUGUCUCCAAAACCAUCUAAAUUCUCCUUCCUAAAAAAUCUUCAUAUUCAGUUUACGAAAUUCUCUUGGGCAACUGACGCAUUUAAAGUGCUCGGUGCACCAGUACCUUUAUCCCUAUAAAGAUUAUCAUCUGAUGAUCCCUUACCUCGAGUUUAUGUGGUUCUACUAUUAGAAGGUGUCGCGGACAUCCCAUUUCAUGCGUCUCCGGUCAUUUCUCAAUUUUUGUGUAUGAUCAGUGAAAAGAGUUUCCAAGUACUAAAAGUCAGUUGCCUGGACAAAAGUAUUUUGUUAUGCAUUAGCAUGUCUUAAGGAUGUUGGUGCUAUCUUAUGAGUUAUGUGAAUCAAAGCUUCUUAUCAAAGUAGUUAAAAUGUUGAAUUCUAGGGUGAUAUACAUUUUAACCAUUUAGUUUAAUCUUCAUUUCUUACACCUUAUGCUUUGUUGUGAAAUAGGGAAGGAAGACGGGAAAAGAGAAGGGACAGUUGAAUGUAAGAUAUGUAAUGGAGAAAGUAAUUUAAAGAAGGGGAUUUGGGAAAGACAUAAAAGAGAAAACUUUUUGUUUCUUGUUUGGUUAAAAGAAGUAAACAAGAUAGUAGGAAAGGAGAUCAUUCUCUUUUAAGAAAACGACGUGGGGGGAAGUUAUGAGUUGGAGUAUUAGAUUGCUCUUCUUUCAAACUCUCUAAAUAUUGGUUUGAGGGUGGUGUUCAUGCCAGUCUGGGUGCACCUAGACUCAUCUACCAAACAGCUUGUUACCACCCACAAGCGGAGGUGUUGAGUUAACUCUCUUCAAGUACGCCCAAGCAUGUUUCUUAUCUACAAGUGUCGAGCUCAUCGAGUUUUGGGCCUGAAAAGCAGUUUUUGGCUUCAUUUCUUUCCAAAUUGCAAUAGUGGGCAUAUUUGUUGAAACAGUAGUUCACAAGAAUGACAAAAGAAGGUAACUCUUGAGCAAAUCCCCUUCACCUACCUCUACUGCCCAAGCUAUGUAUACCAUAACUGACUAUGUUUUUCAAGCUUAUUGUCCUCGAGACUCGAACGAAGGAGCUACUAACCUAAUAGAUUAAAACAACUCAUAUGUAAUUCAAAAUUCACAACAAGCCUUAGCAUAUACAGGCCAAAUCGGUCUCUAAUUGACAUUUCAUCAAACAGGUAAUAGCAGUAGAAUCAGAGACAUUUCAUACAAUUAAAACUGAACAUAGCAUACAAUAAUCAGUUCAAAUACAUUGAAAUCCGCAUAUCUAUCUAUAUUUAACGAUUAGGCGCAAAUCCCUAAAAAUAAAUUUCAGAAGAAGAAGACAAUUAUAGGGUUAAUGUACCUGGAAACAGUGUGCGUGCGGCGGUGAGAGAGGAGGCGGCCGCCGGGAGCUCAGUUUUCUCCGAUACACAGAUUCUACCGCUGUUUAUACUAUUCGUAGUAGUAGUAGGUGGUGCAUAAAAUUAUUAGAAAAAGUAAAGGAAGAGAUAAAUGAGAAUCAUGUGGGAAAAAUAUAUACAAAAUAGUCCUUCAUGUUUAAAGAUUGUCCAAAACCAAUAUUUUUCUAUUUUAUAAAAUAAUAUCUACUCCACUAAACAAAAAAUAUGGCAUAUAUAGCAAAUGAGAAAUGAUAAUGUGAUAAAUGACUACGAAUAAACACCAAAUCUCCACCAAACUAGUGACUCCCGAGAAACAAAUUUCGCGACUCGUACAUUUUAAUGAACUUUGACUAUAAGCGGGCAGUCACUAUCCAGAAAAUAUUUGUAUAAGAUCCAAGCUAGUUUUGUUUCUUCAUCGACCACCAAGGUAAACAAAUAAUAUGAGAAAAAUGAUAAAUCAACUUUUUGUCAUUUGUCUCUCCCCUGAAUCUCGCUUGUCACUCUUUGGCUCGCCUCUCUCACUUUAUACAAACACAAAUGUAUAAAUUGUGUUUGUAUAAAGCGAAAGAGAACUGUAUAUACAAAUACAAAUAUAUACUUGUUCGUCCUACACACUUAUAAUUAUACAAAUAUAAAUCUUCCCCUGCACAGUCUUUUUUUGUCUUUCUCUCUUUCUCGAUUUAUACAAACACAAAUUAUACAAAAUACAAUGUAUAAUUUGUGUUUGUAUAAAGCGAGAGAGAUUUGAUAUACAAAUACAAAUAUUUUAACUCGAUUCAAUUGUACACAAAUUCAAAUUUUAUGCAGAUAUACAAACACAAUCAUUAAUACAUAUACAUAGAAGUUACAUAUAUACAAUUAUUUAACCGAUAUACAUAUACAAUUGUUGCAAUUUUAUACAAAUCAGAUGCUUCAUAGCAAACUAUGUUUGUUAUGAAUUGCAAAUAAAAAAUCUAUUGCUAUAAAGCUCUAAUAUGAUUUUUGUGUUUGUUAUUCCUAAAAUUUUCUCUUUUAUAUAUACAUAUAUAUGUAUGUAUGUAUACAUUUGUGCACUUCGCAGUUCGCCCGAUUACCUUUCUCUAAGAUGAGGACCCUAUUGGCCCAGCCCAUGUUUUAAAUAAACUAAGCCCAAUGUUGAUCAAUCAAAUCCUUUUAACCAUGAUCACCAAACAAAGCAUGUUAAUCAUGAUUAAGUGGUAAAUGUCUAUAUUCAAAAUGCAUUUUUUGUAUUUAUUGAUUUAAUGGAAACAUCCAAGUUCUUGUUAAAUCAAUUUUAUUUAGACCUUAAAAUUUUAAUAUGACAACUGUUGCACAUUUGUACAUGAGAAAAUGACAAAUUACAAUGAAGAGGAGUCGGAUCUUCGUAACACACCUCAUGAAUGCUAAAUAUAUGUUAGGGAAUAGACAUUAGUAUUAAGGUUGUGUUCGGUAUAGAGAAAAAUAUUUUAUAAUUUUCUCAUGUUUAAUUAGUAAAAAGAAAUUAAAAAUACUUUCUCCAUUUGUUGUUUAUUUUCUUGCAAUCAUACAUCAAAUACUCCUCUUUUGAGUCGAGGGAUUAUCAAUCGGAAGCAAUCUUUCUACUCCACAAAGGCAAGGCUAAAAUGUGUAUAUAUCUCACCCUCUCCAAUUCCAACUCGUGAACUACACAAGAUUUAUUUUUGUUAUUGUUGUUAUUUUUUCCAAGUAAAAAUAAGAAAAAUUAUUUCAAGCGUGUAUUUCACACCUAUAACCGCCUUCCAACACACUCCGAUCCCAUAGCCGCUGUCCCCACUACUCCAUACCCUUAGGCGAUCUAUUUAUUUUAGAGAAAAAUAUGUUUCUUCGUAGCAAAAACACCAUAAUAUAUCACUAGAUUGCAAGCUAACAACCCACUUAGAAAUUAGAAUGAUAAUCAAGAAAUACAAUCUCAUUAACUCAAUCUUUCCCAAAACUAACUUCACUAUAUUUACAUUGUAAUAUUUCAAUAACCUCCAAAUCUAACUAAUUCCCAUGAAAUUUAAUGUUCCAAAAUUUAUACUACAAAAAUUUUAAAAAGAUAUUGAACUUGAAGGACUAGAACUUGAUGAUACAGGAACCCAAAUGGAAGCACUUGUUAAAGGCCUUGAUUUCCAACACAAAGCCAAUUUGUUUUGUUCAUUUUGCACCCAAUACCCUCCACUAAACAAACUCACCAAAUGCUUAGCUUGUCUCACAUUACUUGAACUCAUUGGACUUUGUCUAAAACCUUUUAAUGAAUAAAGCCCUUUACUCCAUUUCUCCCUUCCUAAUUUAUCACUAGGGAAUUGUCUUAAUGAGUCCAAAAUUCUAACUCUUAAAAAUUCUUUCUCAAUGACCCUUAAUGCUAACAUGUAUCCUCCACCAAAACCUCCAAGAAUUGAAUCAUAUAUUGUUGUGUAAUGAUGUAAAGCCUCACAAAAGAACUCAACAAAUGACAUAGAUGAGAUUUUUGAUAAAUUGAAGAGCUCUUCUUCAACUAACACAACAAGUUUAGGGGACAAUUUUCUUAGUCCAUUGAAAAAUGUCUUGACUAGUGAACUUCCCCUUUGUGGCAUGUGAAGUUGGUGGAUCAUAACAUUAGCUAUUAAGUUGUUAUGACCCUCAACAACAACUUGUAUUUUUUCUAAGUCCUCUAAGAGGAUUUGAUCAAACAUGAAAGGAAGAUUGAUAGAAUUAGCAAAUUCUUGAAGUCUUUUGCCUGUCUUUUGUACAUGACAUGAGUUUGAAUGAUCACUAACAAGUGAUGUGAUCCUUAGAGAAGAAUUUGUGUUUCCUCUUUCAACCAAAUCAACCAUCAAAGGAGGCCAUUGAAUGCCUUCCAUGAUGUCAAAAUCCAAUAUAUGAACUUGUUCACUCCCUUUUGUUGCUUCAAGAAUCGCUUGGUUCGCGGUGAAAUGAGCAAACUUAACAUAAGGGGAGAUUUCUUGAAGCAUUUGGAACGCGGUCAUUGAAGACGUAAACUCUGAUUGAUAUUGAUUUUGAUUUUGAUUCAACAAUUCAUGUGAUGAAUUAUUCAAGGUUUUGCAUAACAAGGCUUGUGUAAAAUACAAAGCCAAUCUUUCAACAGGGGAAUUUUCUCUGUUUUCUUGAUUAGAAAGUAUUGUAUUUAGCCUCAAAACAACUAUAGAAGCAAGAUCAAGAUUUCUAGCUUCAAUAGCCUCAGCUCCCAUAAGAAGAAGAUCAGUUACACUUGUUUCCUCCAUGAGCUGAUCUUGAAGGAAUUCAAGACGAGGAUUGCAGACACGUGAUUUUUGACCCUCUCUCGAGAGUUCAGUAUCUCCCUGAAUAAUUUCUUGUUGCGUGUUUUGAAGGGGGAUGUCUACAUCUCCAUCGAUGAAAUCGAAGUCAUUUUGGAAAUAGUCUAGUAUGUCAACAUCAUUAACAAUAGUUACAAAAUCUUGGAUUGAACAUUGAGGGUUAAUAAUACUAGGAUUAUUCCAAGAAAAUGUGGUCUCUAAGUUGCUAUACUCAAUAUAUGGAUUAAUGUAAUUUGGUUGGAAAUUUUCACACUCCAUAAUUAUUUUUUUAAAAAAGAGGGAAUAUAAUUGGAGAUUUUGUCUAAAGGUCUAGGACAGUUUUUGUUGCUUGUUAGCUCUAUUUCCAAGUGUUAGGGAACAUGAUUUAUAUAUACACAAAACUAAUAUUAAUAGGAAUUAAAAAAAUAGGGUUUCAAAGUAGGAGUAGAUGCAACUUGACCUAGUAGACACUUUUAAACAAUUAAUUUUUAAAAAAAUGAUUACUCAAUGCCAAUAAUAAAGGAAUCUUUUGCCUAAUGUGAUAUGUCGAGUGUACAUUCAUCAAAGAAGUUUCAAAUUAUUAUUUUUCCUAUUUGGUUUUCAAAAUUCUUAAUUGCAAAAAAUUGACAUCACAUGAUAUAAUAGUAACAAAAUAUAGAGGAAUAUAAAAUAUAUAUAAUUAAAAAAAAACUUUGAAUAAGCACAAAUUAAUAAUAUGUUCAAGGCUUAAAUCCCCUUUUCCCCCACCCUCCAACAUUGACACCCACAACACCUUCGUUUUAAGACAUUUUAUAGAUAAGUAAGUAAUUAUACUAGAUUUAUUUUUGGGAUUAACCUAGCUCAAUAUAUAACAUACAUAUAUUGCGAGAUUAAAAAAAAAGUCAUUUCAUUUCAACAAAAGACCUGCACUUAAAGGGAAGUUAGAGUUCUAGCUAUAGGUUUGACAUAAGAUUUUGCUUCCUUACUACUAUCUCGAGAAAAGCAAUUGGGUUGGAUGAUGUCAUUAGUUCUUUUCUUCUCUUUCCCGAGCAUAACUUUGGCCAGAUCUUGUAUUUAUGUUAAGAAAUUCAUUCAAUAUACUUUUGGAUCUGUAGUGUCUAUACUCAAGUUCCCUAGUUUUUGGUUAGUGCAAGGAAUCUUUUUGAUAGUCCAAAAUUUCUAUUUUUCAAUGAUAUUCUAUGAUUUAAGAUAAUUGGCUAGAUCCCAUAAAACCAUUUUAUAAAAUUUGUUAAUUUUCUUUUUUAUAAAGCAAAUGGAUUUCAAUUCUUGAAUAAUUCACACCACUUUUGCUUUUAUUGGAGCACAAUAUUUUCCAUAAAAAAACAAGAAGAAAGAUUCCUUUUUUCUUUGGUUUGAGUACUUCUGACAAAACUAAGAAAUGUUGAAUAUUUCUUAAUUGCUCCUUAACAAGAACAUGAAAAUGAAGUUUAAUUGGGAGGUGAAAAGAAAAAGACAUCACUAGUUUACUUUCUUAUUUGGUGCUUGAUAUUUAUAUUAAACUCGACUAAAUUUGAAUUUCCGUCAGAAAGUCUUAUAUUAGAGGGGUAAAGAGCCCCCUAACAUGCAAAAAUGACUCUGUAUCCGGUGGAACUUGAAACUGAGUCCUCUGAAUUCUCAUUAAAAACAAAAAUAUAUUUACCGCUCCAUUGAAACCCUAGUUAGUAUCAUUAUUUAUUUAUUUUUGGAUUAAUUGAUUCCAUAAUUAGUCAAGAAAUUAACUUGAUUGAUUCCAUUGCUCACUUCUUGAUGGUCAAAUUACACAGGGACAUGAGGUUAUUAAAUUAACAAUUAUUAUAAGUUGUUAGGAGUUUUAAAUUUACUUGUGCACCAAUGGGAAUUGUUGAUUCUUGUCCACUUAACUAAUUAUUUCAGCCAUGCCAAGCCAAUAACAGUAACUAGCUAGGAGAUAAAAAAUAAUCUUUCACAUCUUUUACAUUUUUCACUAUAAUUAAUUUUCUUCAUUGGUCAAACAUUUAAUUUGUUAAUAUAUUCUUUUAUCUUUUUGGACUUUUUCAUCUGAAAUAGUAAAAAUAUUUGCAAAAUAAUAUCUCAAGGUUUCAACCAAUAGCUAGGAGCAUCUUUACGUAAGGUCAACCACUUUAAAAUUAUGGAACUACGAAGGUGUUUAGCUAAGCGUAUUGGCUGAUUAAAUUAAUUUAUGUAUUUUUUUUAUUAUUUACGUGUUUGAUUAUAUUCAUUUCAUAUCCGUUAUUUCUCAUUUUCUUUACAAAGAUGCUAUUAAAUUUAUAUUUAUUUGUAAAAAGUUUAAGAAUAUUUUAGUCAUUUAAAUAAAAAUUAGCUUAUAAACACUUUUACCAAACAUGUCAACUAGUACUUAUUAUCGAUUUCAAUACUUCUAUCCAUAUACAUAACUACUUAUUUAUAAAUUCAGUUUUAACAUUUAAAAUAUUUUUCAGCACUUUAAAACUUAUCUGUUAUUUACAAUAUGCUAAUAUGUUCACAAAUUAAGUAAACUUAGGGAAAGUCUAAUAUAAUAUUGGACUUAAAUUCACUAGAAAAAAAUUUCUUAGCUGUGAUUGAGGUUAAAUUUUUUUAAUAUAAAUUUGGACAGAGAGUUGUACAAAAAUAUUCUUAUCAAAACAUAAAUUAAAAAAAUUGAAAAUAUAUAUCAUUCUUAAAAAAAUCAUUGUCUACAACUUUAAAUUAUUUUUGUAACAUUCUAUUAUGUUCCAAAUCACUAGUUUGGUAGGUAUAAUGAGAAAAAAAUAUUAUCUUAAUUUUAUCUUUUGUGUACAAACUUCAACUUUAUUCUUAAUGGUUGCUGCAUAUUAAAUUAAGGAAAUAAACCUAGAUGAUAUUAUUAAUUUCCUCUUAAUUAUACCAUGUAGUUGCAGGAAGCUCUAUUUUAGUUACACAUUUCUAACCAUCGCAACUCUACUUCAUAUCGAGGUUGAACCUUAAGAAUAAAGUCGUCUUAUGAGUUUAACGUGAAUUAAAUUAAUCGAACCCUGAUGAUAUAUUAAAAAAAAAACUUCACUUCAUGUGCACCCUUUUUUAAAAAAUUGUUAAUUUAGAAGUUUGUCAGUUUUUUUUUUUUUUGGUUGUUCCAUGCCCCUUAAGUUUAUCUCACAAUCGUACUAUUUUGAGUCGGCUUUGAUAUCAUAUUCAAUAUUCAUUGUAGUCUAAGUUCAAAAGUACGAGUAUCAUAUGAACUUGUAAUUAUUUGUCCUAUAUGAAAAUUUUAUUUUUUCUAUCUUUCCUUUCCGAUAUAAAAUUCGUCAAAUAUUACAUGAGUCCGUCUUCAAAAACUUUAUAGCCUAAAAACCCAUUAAUCAUUCUCAACAACCUGAUGGCUGAUUCACACUAAUUUUACUAUGAUCAUAUAUAGUCUUCAAAUUUAGAGAUCCUUUAAUCAUGAGUUCAAUCAAUUAGUGGCUCAUAUCAAUUUAUUUUUUUCUUCUAAGGACUCAUAUUAAAUUGACUUUGAUCUUAAUACAACAAAUUUAAAGUUGGAAGUGCGUGCAUUUUAUUUUCAAUGGUAGAUCACUAUUAUAACAUUUUCUUGAUUAACCAAACACAUAAAACAAUAACGACGACGACAACAUAUUCAUUGUAGGACAGAGUAUGCAAAUCUUACUACUAUUUUAGAGGUAGAGAACUUAUUUUCAAUAAACGGCCUUGGAAAGAACAAUUUCAUGAAUUGAAUUGAACUAAAUUCAUACCAUUUUUUAAAAAGAAAAUUGAUGAAAAAUAACAUCAUCUUGAAUUCAUAAUAAAAAUAUUAUAUUUUAAAGUUCUCAAUGAGACAAUAGUGUGGAAAUUAUUGCCAGAAAUGCCCAAAUUUCACGUGGAUUAACUCAUUAAUUAAGAUUAGAUGCCCAAAUUAGUGUGAAAAGAGUAAUAAACUAACCAAAAAUAGCAAAAGCUUUAUCUCAAAUAAUUCUAAUGUUUCAUUUUUUUGUUCACACAAGAAUAUUCCCAUCAAAUUACUAAUUAAAAAUUAAGUAAGGUUAGCAAAAGGACAUAACAAGAAACAAUUCAAAAACUAAAUUUUAUUAAGUUUAAUUAUCAUAUUACAUGUGUGCUGAGAAUAUACGAAGCAUAUUAUGAAAAUUCGGAUUAGUAUCCUCACUGAAAUUUUUAAUUAAUUAGACAUGUAAUUUAAUUUAAUUGACUUUUUAUGAGACACCAAAAAGUUAUGACGUACUAGUUCACUUCAUAUAAAUAUUAUAAUUUAGAAAAAAACACAUAAAACAAGUCCAAAAUGUAAGUCUUUAUUUUUUUAUAUAUAUUUUUUUCUUUUUAUGGAAAUAUUUACAUUUAAAAAAAUGUUUUAUUUUUCAUUAUUAGUUUUAAAUCAUUUAUAUUAUUAAUUUAAUAUUUCUUGAGCUAUCAUAUCAAUAUAAUUUUGUAACACCCUAGGGCUAGCUAGGUAUAUAAGAAAAUAAGUCUCGGACGUGACGCGUUUUAAGGUCUAAAUCUAAAGUAAAUAAUAUUACUAAUGGAUUGGAUUGAUAUAGAUCGUGAUGUCAAAGUCGCUCCACGUGCAAGUUGCAACCUUGGAUGAUAGAGGGUGAACUUCACGGUCAAUUUUACUUAAGCGAAUCUCACAUUUAUGGAAAAUAUUUUUUCUAGAAAAAAUAAGCUUUUUUUAAAAUGAAAAUAAAAAAGUUUUUCUAAGAAAAACAAGUCUCAUACGUGACAUUUCAAGUUCAAUUCAUUGUCUCUUCCCCAUCCAACCAACAUCUUGAUCAACCCUCACUACUUGAUUGUCCCAUCCCUCGUCACCUAUUAACCCCAAUCGUAACUCCAUCUCACCCAUAUAGUAUUUUGCUAGAUUACAUAUAAAUAUUCUUAGAAUAAAUUUUCUUGUUGAUUUAGCGGACACUAAAAGACAAGUAAGAAAUCGACUUAUUUUUCAAGAAAAUAUUUUUAUAUAAAAACAAAAUCACUACUAAAAAUAAAGGUCUUUUCUACUAUGAAUCAAUGAAAAUUUUGUGUUAUAAAAUAUGAUUUUUCUAUCCUAGCUCACUGAAAAAACACAUGAUGGAAAACAAAUUCUCAUUGAAAUACUGAGAAUAGCACACAUUUUUUAUUCUCUCACUGAUUCAAUCAAAUUAUCGAUGAAAAUAGUCGCUAAACAUUUCCAAUGGAAAAUUUCAAUUAAAAAAUAGUAAUUUUUUUUUAUUAAUGUUAAUUCCUUCAUUUUCUCUAUAUUUUCUAGGAACAUGUCAUUGAAAAGGUACUUUAUUCAACAAAUGGCCUUUCCUAUCUCUAAGAGGUGCUUUACAAAAUUGUGAAAUGAUAAAGUGUAUAAUCGAUAUUGUUUCAAUCUUGAAAGACACAUGGGACUUCUAUUUUAAUUAUUCAACAAUUUAAUUCAUUUAUAUAUGUUAUCUAGUGUUUAGUUUGAAUUUACAUAAACUACUCGACAAUUUAGGAAGUAUAUUUUCCUCGUAGGAAUAAUUUUGUCAUUUUUCUAUUUUAAGUUUACAAGUAAGCAUCAACUUGGGUAGGGGUAUUUGAGCUCUAUUUUAUGUGCUUAUCUAGUUUGAUGCAUUUAAAUAUAUAGCAAUGAUCAGAUGAAAAAUAAACGCCAGCUUCAGGAUUUCACUAAGGAGAUUUAAAAAAUAAAAAUAUAAUAAGUGAGAUCUGAAUUUACAAUCUCAAGGUAAAUUUUGAAUCUCCUAAACCACUAAAUCAAUUUUUAGUCAUGGCUUUCGAGGACAUAACAUCUAUAUACAAAGUUGAAUGGGUUCAGAUGAACACCCUUAUCCCUCCUAGAUUUGUCGUUAGGCGAGUAUAGUUCUUAAACCAAAAAAAGGUUGGAACCCUUUUCCUAUUUUUAAUGCAUUUUAUUUUUUAUUUGGUCCGAUUCAAACAAAAUGAGAAAAAAGAUUCGAUUAAUAGCUAGCAUUACUUUCUCUUUUUUCGGUGUUUAAUUUCUUUAAUUUUGAUGGAGAGUCUAAUUCGACAGGAAUUACUUCUAAUUGCAUAUAUACAAUAGAGGUUUGGUGAUAAGUUAGAUCUUUGAUUGAUUAACAUUAUUUUUAUUGACCUUCUUCUUUAUUUAACUCACAAGAAUAGGAGGUCAAAUUUCAAUUAUUAUGAAAGUUAAUUGAAUGAACCUAUAUUGUUCUAAUUUGAUCUAAGAUGAAAAACAUAAUGCUUUGUAGGGUCUGAACCUAUAGUAUCGGGUUUUGGAGAUCAUGUUCUAUAGUAGUCUUUUUUGUCUAUUACACUCAUUCACUCUAGUGAUUGCUUCAUAUACUAAGUUUUUUUAUCUAGCAUAUAGAACUUGUUUAUUCCGCUCGUUCUAUAACUCUAAGAGCAACUUUUUUUGGAUUAUUAAAGAAAUUACUAAUUCUAACUAUCAAAGCGUACUAAUCGAGUUUGGUCUUACUAACCUCAUACUUCACCAAACCCAAGCCAAACACUAAGCAUAAUAAGGUGAAGGUCAGUAUCGUAAGGUUUUAUUGAAAAGCUUUAAAAGAGUGAGAGAAAGAUGGGAACAUGAGCAUAGGAUAAAUUGAGAAAUUUAUUGUUGAUAGACCGCGUGUGUAUGUUAAAUGAUUGAAAUCAUACGGGAAAAAAAAAAUUGGGAAGGAAAUCAUUUUAAUUUUGAUAUUUGAUGAUAAUCAAAAAAUAUUUUCGAAGGAAAAUGUUUUUUCAUGACAAAGGAAAAAUGACUUUCAUCACGUAUUAGCAGAAGAUGGACUUAAAUCUAAUGUAGAAACCGUUAAAGGUGACUAAAAUUGUUGAUAGAUUCAGUUGGCGUUUGACCAUAGAUUUAGCUAGCGUUUGAUCAUAGAUUUUCAAAUAUUUUUGACUAAUUUGUUUGGGUGAAGCUUUCCCAACCAUUUGACCAUAGAUUUUGGGAGAAAUAUUUAACUUUUGAUAAAAUAUGAUUUAUACCUAUAAAUUUUAAAAACUAUUAAAAGUACUCAUAAGUUGGUAUUAUCAUUUUAAAAUGAGCAUGUUUCAUAAAAAGUCAUGAUAACAAACACAAUUAAUAUGAAUCUGAAAAAAAGGAAGAAACAAAAGGAAAAUAACAUUGAUUGAUAUAUGAAAAACUACUAUUACAACUUGUAAUUGGAAAUGACUUUGAAGAGCAAGUCCCAAUAAGAAUUGAUCAAUAUGUGUAUAAUUGUAUAAAUUUUGUAUUAUGAACUAAGACUGAAAUUCAGUCUAAAACUAUAAAUCGACCUACUAAGCUACUGAAAUUCUCCUCAAUAAUAUCAUUUAUUUACUUAAAUACAAUAUUUUGUUCUCUCUAUAUAUAAUAACGAAUGACACUGUUAGCAUAAAGUGUAGAUCUUGUGAGUUCAAUGAUUUAAUGAUCAAAUGUGAUAAUAAGAUAAAAUUGAUAACUUUUUAUUUUAAAAGAAAUAGUUUAUUGACUUUUUGUGAUACUUAGACAAAGUGAAAUGUUCUCUCUAUUUUAUAAAAUAUAAUUUAGUGACUUUGAUGUGAUAAAUAAAAAUUGGAUGAUUAAUCCGCAAUAUUAACCCAUAAUUUAGUUUCAUUAGUUAGUAGAGUGUGCUAUCUUUUUAAAUAAGUUAAAUAUAGCUUUAUACAAUGUAAAUUUAAAUUAAUUGUAUUAAAAAUUUCAGAUAUUAGAUGAUUACAUAAAAAGAUAUGAAAAAAAUUCUCAAUGAGUAGAAAAUGUUUCCUUCUUAAAUAUAGUUUUAUGCAGAUCAAAUCUGAAUUAGUUGAGUUAGAAAUUUCGAAUAAUAAAUGAUUAUAUCAACAAAACAAAUAAGUUUCUUCACUUCUCUUGAGAAAUUUGCUGAUUAGUGAGAAUAAAUAAUUUGCUAUAUAUUAGUAGAAACUCGAGAUCAUGGGAAGAAGACAUAAGCUUGCCGUAUUUUUCAUUCUUUUUCUUUUGUAUAAAUAUUGAUUUAUUAUUAUUAUUAAUGAUAGUUGAUAGGGAAGGAUUCUAAAAGGCUUUUCUUGUGUUAUUUUGCCGGCUUAACAAUUAUAAAGAAAAGAAAAUGACAAUUUGAUGUAUAAAAUAAUCCGUAUUAGCCAGAUUCAAAAAAAGAUGGUUUGAAAAAAAAAAUGAUCUCAAGGAAUUUUCAUAACAACUUAACCAAUAUAUUAAAUUUUUAACUUGUAUCAAGAGGUGUCAAUAAUUGUAUAUACAUUUAUUAAAUUAAUACAUAAUGUAAUUUUCCGACGAUGGGGUAUCGCUUGACAGCCCUUACCAAGGGUGGAUCUGCCCCUGUACAUAGAGAUAACUUUAUUAUUACUUCAAUGUGAUUGACAAUUAUAAUAAUAAUUUAAUAAUUAUAAUAAAAUUGAAAGUUACUUCUCAAUUAGGUCUUCUUUACUCCAUAUGUCAAAUGAAAAUCAUAGUCAGUAAUUGUUACAGGUUUUAUUUAAUACUCUUUGUUUUAUCCCAUGUUUGACCUCAUAUUUACGUUAUCAUUUCAAAGAUUUAGCAGAGUAUUCUCUUAUAACUAUGCAAAAUUAUUUACACUAUCAAUAUUGAGCAAGAUAUGGUGGAAAAAACAUCUUUGUAUUUCGUUGAGCCAAACGAAGCCAAAGAAAAACAAGUUUGACACAUUGACAAUGCUCAUGUCAAAGAACUGAUUCGUGGCACACAUCAAUACUCUAGCAAGUCAUCAUGGAUUCAUACGGCACAGUGUUGGGUUCGAAAGUGAUUAGGGCGUCAUGCGGAAGCUUACAAUUGCAAAUCAUAGAGUUGAUAAAUUGGAUGACAAAAACUUAUACUAAAAACAUAAUAUUAAUAUAUAAAAACUAAUAUAAAGAAAAAUAUUAUAACCGUAGAGAGAUUAAAUAUUCCCAUAAACAAAACUCUUAAAUGUCUACAUGUGGAUGUUAUAUGUGUUUUUGAGAUGAGAAGGGGGUCUUCAAUUUAUAGGAUUCCAAACACUUCCUCUAAGGAAGGAAUAACCCAAAUAUGAAAGAAAAUUAUAUUUUCCUUUCAGGAAAAGUAAAAACAUUUAUGGUAAUGUUGUCUUUUCUUUUAGGAAAAAAUAAACUUCAAAUAAGGUGAGAAAAUCAGGGUAAAAUCCUAACACACAGUUGCACAACUAUACAUAUAUCUAAAGGUAUCUCUAUAUAAAUUCUUUCUUCGGAGUUCAUCUCAAAAGUUCGAACCAUAAUGCUUUGAGUGCAACAAGUAUGACCAUAUUGCAUCACAUUUGCAAGAAGAGAAAUGUAUGCAAUUAGUGUUAGAAAGGUAAAUAUCAUUUAAAUGAGAUGAAAAGAAAGAUAUAAGAAGUAGAAAUUAAAUCUAACAAAGUAAUAAUCAUGACAUGAACCUCAAAUGCAACAUUUGUUCUCAAAGUUGAGAUAAUGUAACAACAAACCACACCACCUCCACAUAUAUAUAUAUAUAUAUAUAUGAGUCAUGGAAGCAAAUUAAACAUGAAGAGAGCUUUUAAUGGUGUAUGAAUUAGAAAGCACAGCCUAAAUAAAGUAUUUCAUUCCUCUUCUUAUUUUUGUACCAAUAGGAUAUAUAGUAAAAUUAAUAUAUGUCGUUUAAGAAAAGGACAACCUAAUGGGAAAGGUUCUCAAAAGGUAGUUUUUGUCUUAUUUGCUCGUCUUAAAGGAAAGGAAAAUUAGAUCGGUUUGAACUCAGGUUGAUUUAAAAUAGAAAUUUUAUUGGGACAUGCAUUGUGGAUUACUUAUCAAUUGUGAAAACUAUCAAGACUUUCACGAUUCAUAUACAAUCUUAUCAAAUAAGUAACAUAGUUCAUAAAAUAAGGUGUCGAAACAUAUUAAGGCAACGUAUUGAUAAUCAUCUUCAUAAUUUUCUUAUAAAUAAAUGCUUAUGAUUACAUGCUAGUACAAUUUUUUUAAAUAUACACAUUCUUAUAAUCCAAUAAAUCAACAAGUAGUAGUAAUUAACUAUUCAUUAAUGUAAUUUUUUCACAUGGUACAAAUAUUCUCUUCAUGUCUAGUGUGGUUUUUUUUUAAAAUAAAAAUAAAAUUAAAGUGGUGAGUCUUUUUUUUUUAUAAAGGGAUAAUAUCAAAGACCUACCUCGAGGUUUCUCUCUAUAACACUCAUCUUCUCUAUGGUUUACAAUAUAACGUCUAUUUUCCUUAUUUUGAUUUUUUUUUGUAACCAUUCUUUAAAUCUAUUUAAAAUAAAUAUAGAUUAAUUAUAAUUUAAUAAAUGUGUCUGUCUUUAUAUUAGUUUCUUCAUAUUAAUUCUUAUCAUUAAAAGAUUACUCAGUUAAUAAAUACUUUUAAAAUAAAAUAAAAUAUAUUAUGAGAUUAUUUUACGAAAAGUUGAGACUGAUCUUUCCGAUUGAAUAUUAUAUUAAAAGAAUUUCUUUUUGUUUCAUAUAUUAUUUUUGGGUCAAAGAGAUGUACAUUUUGCUGGAAAGUGAAAAUGACUGGUUGCAUUGUAUUAGCCAUUAGUAAAUGGAAUAAUAUUGUAUGCUCUUGAUAAUGCAACAAAUCUAUUCUUUUUAUUUAAUAAAAAAAGUUUAAACGUAGGUUAGAUGUGACCCUCACAACUAAUUGAUUAUUGAAUGGUUCAUAAUUACGCCUUUUAACACUUUACGUCAAGAAAACAACCAGAUUAUUAAUUUACUAAUAACAAAUUAAAUUACUUCCAUUGGAAAAUGACACCAAAUGAAGAAAAACUCCAAAAGGUAAUUUUUGUCUUAUACUCAAAAAUUAAUUAAGUUUGCCGGCCAUAAGUCCACGGAUGAAAGAUUUUGAAUAGAUAGCGUAAAAUUAGCUCGUGAAAUUAUAAUCGUUUUAAUUUAGGUUGAAUAUUUGAUGUGUGUAGCUUAGUUUAAUCCAUUUCCGCCACUGAAAUUUGGGCUGACAUCUACAACAAAAUGAUCUAUGAGUAAUAUUAUUAAAAAUAAUUUUUAUUUGAUGUUAUAUAAAGUAUUUUAAACGGCUGUUUUGGAAUUAGCGGGCAAGACACUGGCAAAAGGUAUACCUCGAGGCUUAUAUGUGGGGUUUAGUUUUAUGAGGUUUAUGUUGUAGCCUGUAAGUGUUCGAUUGUACAUCCUAAACACGCCUAACGCCUAAUUGUCUAACAAUUCUUACACAAAUUUUUUAGUUUACUAUAUUGACCCUCAUAAUUCUUUGUAAAUGAAAGAUAUUUUGAUUUUAAAAAAUUCCAUCUAUAAAAAGAGAUGAACGCAACUUAAAUAAUAAGUCAUAGUAUUGCAUAUUUAUUAUUUGAGAAUAUCGUGAGGUUUGAAUAUCAUUUAAAUUUCUUUUAAAAAUAUUUAAUCAAAUUACCCUUUGGGGUGGCCCAGAGGGUUGGGAUUGGGACAUCCAUGUUGAUGGUCUCAAGUUCGAAAUUCCUUGCCAGCGAAAGCAAGGAGUUUGCCUUUUGGAUCGAGCUUGUCGCACCUCUUCUGUGUGGUUUGCAAGCUAUUGCAUAGGAGCAGCUAGCAACUGCGAAUUUCCCUUGUCAUAAAAAUAAUAAUAUAUUUAAUCAGAUUUUACAUAUUCACUAAUCAUUAUUUAUCACUGUUUUUGAAUUUCGAAUUGGUACAAACUAUGUCUAUCCCUAGAGGGAGGAAGGGACACUUCUAGUCCAAAAACCAAGAAUAAGAUCAAUUAUGUUCCAAUAAAUGGACGAAGACGAUUUUAAAUUUAAAAAAAAAUGGAUAAUGCUAAAUAGUCAGAAAUUUUGGUCAAAAUUUGGCCAGAAAUUUAAAAAGUCUAUAAUAUCCUUUUUAUUUUAAAAUAGAUUGUUCUUUUUUCCACUUUUAAUUAAAAGGCAUUAAAGUUAAAAAGGUAAAAAUGUUCAAAAAGGUAAAAUAGCAUAGUGUGAAAUAUGCUAUUGUCACGACCCAAACUGUCGUGAUUGGCACCCACACUAACAAAUUUUAUGAAAACUAAGGCAUUUAAAGAUUUGGAAGCAGGUUUAUAUGACUAUAAAAAUACGGAGUUCUCAUAAACUCCAAAGGUUUAAACAAAUAACUUAACCAAAGUAAUGCGGAAGAACGACCCCUAGAACCUGAAAGUCAAUGUACCAAAACUCUACUAACGACAAGUCUAAGAACAAGGUGUACAACUCCGAAACUAAACAACACCUUAAACAAAUAGUCUGAGUCCGAAAAGAGUGGACUUAAAUAAGAAAGAUCCAUGGCAGCCUGAAAGAACUGGCUCACCCUUGAAUCCGGUCACGCUCUAUAGUCACCUAGCUGAGGUCUAUCAAUAGCCACCUGAAGAUGCCCUGUACUCAACAAAGAACAAGCAAGUGCAAUAUCAAUACACAACCAUAGUGUACUAGUAGGAUUACGUGGAUAUCCCAAUAAGUGAAACACAUGCAAGUAACCACAACAUUAUAAAACAAGCAUAUACCGAACAUAUACAAUAUUAGUCACCUUUUCAGGAUCAAUGUAGCAUCCCACAUUCUCAAUAAUACACAUUGGUUAUCAAUUUAGAGCAACAUACAGUCUUCCAAUAUCAACUAUCAUUAGAUAUGAACAUAAUCAUCACAAGUAGAUACACAACACAAUUCAAUGGUCCUCUCACGGAACUCAAUUCAAUGGUCCUCUCAUGGAACCCAUACCCAAACUGUUAGCAUACCGAAACGUAGUACCCGAUCCAAUGUUUAUAUCGGAAUGUGGCAAUCGAUCCCAUGUUUAAGUCGGAACGUGGCAACCGAUCCAAUGUUUAUGCCGGAACGUGGCAACCGAUCCUAUGUUUAUGCCAGAACGUGGCAAUCGAUCCAAUCGAUCAACAAUCCACAAUCACAAUCACAAUGUAUAUUCUCACAAUCAUACAACAAGAGGUGAUUCAUGGCAUACAAUUAUUCAAUUAUCCUCAGUUACGAUUAGGGUGAUCAAUAAUGCAACAUUCGCAUACAUACACGCAUUAUAAUGAGCAAUUACAAACCUAUAUCACACCAACAUGAAAUCACAACCAUAAUAUACCUCGAAUCCAAGCUUGAAUCCCCUAAGGCACUUGAAUCUUUCUUUCCGGAUUCUUCUCGGUUGUACGUGGUCUAAAAAUAUACAAUUAACGCAAGGAUCAACAAUCAAAGGUCUAAUUAUCCAGAUUAUAACAAACACAAAUAACCCUAGACCAAACCCAAGAUCAUAAUACCCAAUUUAGGGCUUUUUCCACCACUAGUUUCAGAUCAAAACCCUUCCCCCACAAUAAUUACCUACGAAUUUACAUUCUACGGAUCGAAAACGGAUUCGGGUAGUGCAAAUCUUACAUUUAGCCUCAAGAAUGGUGGAAAACUGUCAAGAAAAGCCCUGGGUUCGUUCCUUAGCUCUCAAGUUCGAAAAUUGCAGAAUAAAACAUUUUUGGGGUUUAUUUCUGACUUUAAGUCGCGUCUGUCCCGCCACAACGACCUCACCCCGCUACAACGUCCCCGCCCUGGUGGCAGAAAAUACCGCUAUAGCAGCUUGAAUGGAACAAUGAGCAAAAUUAAUAAUUCCAAUACCCCCAUUUCACAACACACCUUCAACCAACGACACUCAAAAACUACUUGUUCACGCCAAGAUCAGUUUCGAGAGUUCUACUCACCCGAAUUCAAUUUCGUAAAGUCGUACGGGUUCCUUAACGUCUUAGCUAUCUUCUCAUGUAAUUAAAAUCAUAAUUAAAUCGCUCAAUCAUUACCAGAUUUCCCUAGACUCACAUGACUCCAAUUUCGUCCAAAUCUGGACUAGGCAAGGAAAUCCCAAGUUACUGCCAAAAAGUUUUCUGACCCCAAUUCUUUCCCCAUUGGCUUUUCCCUAACGACGGAAUCAAGUCGUUACCGUUAUUUUACCAUUCUGGCCAAAUUUUCUGGCCUAAAGGAUUUUUCACACUAGAAAUAUUUUAAAUCAUUUUUCAUUUAAUAUUUGUAUUAAGUGAAUGAUGAUAUGUACUUUCAUGACUACGUCAUAACUUUUUAGUGUCUCAUUAAAAGUCAGCUUAAUUAAAUUAUACAUGUCUAAUUAAUUAUAAAUUCCAGUGAGGAUCGAUACUAAUCCAAAAUUCAUAAUAUGCUUCGUAUAUUCUCUGCACACAUUAUAAUAUGAUACCCAACCUUAAUAUAAUUAGUUUUUGAUUUGUUUCUUCUUAUGUUCCUUUGCUUACCCUUACUUAAUUUUUAAUUAGUAACUUUAUGGGAAUCUUUUGUGACAAAAAAUCAUUUGAUUUAAAACAUUUAAUAUUAUGACAGAACUCAGAAUUAUUUGAUGCAUUUAUUAUUUCUCUAAAAAAAGAAAUUUGUUUUGUCUCUUUUGACACUAAUUUGAGCAUCAUGCAAUAGUUUUUUAUAAUCACAUCCAUUACGAUAUAUUAAAAUCACAAUAUUCAAAAGUCUUAUAAACAUGUAAAUGUUUUAAUUAAGUAUUCAAAACUAUAAAUCUCCAGAAAAAAAACUAGUUUCAAUUAAAUAUUUUUCAUAAAUUGAAUUUAUGCACAAUUUAAAAAAAGUGUUCUCUCCGUUUCAAAUUACUCCCCCAUUCUGUAUUAGUUGUCCACCUUAGUUGAGAUCAUCUUACUAAAAAUAGUUACCCAUAUUAGUUGUCGAUCUUACUAAAUCAAAAAAGUUAAAUUUUUUCUAUAUUACCCUAGCAAUUAAUCCUUUUUGAAAGUAUUCACGUUUGUUUGUAAAAUUUUCAAAAAGUUUUUCAAGAAGUGAAUUAGUAAAAAUAUUUUCUUAUUUAUGAUUUCUUAAUUAAUAUGCGUGUAAAAAAAAAAUGAUCAACUAAUAUAAGACCGGGAAAAUAUUUAUCCUGAUUCUCAUUUACACAAAAAUCUUUCAUGGCUAGUUGAAUAAUCAUAAUAUAUUAUUCUAUAAUUAAGGUAUUUGUACUCUUCAAAAAUAAUAUUUUCAUCUCAAAAUACUUGUAGUGUUUCCAUUUACAUACCUUUUAAGAAAACAUUAAUAAAAAAGAGUUUUAGUUCAUCCUUAUUUAUGUUUUACUCUCUUCAUUGAAUAAUUACUCUGUGAACUUCUAAAAUGGUAACUAUUCUGAGACAUAAUUUUAGUAAAAGGUCUAAACACGAAAAUGAUCAACUAAUAUAAGACCGGGAAAAUAUUUAUCCUGAUUCUCAUUUACACAAAAAUCUUUCAUGGCUAGUUGAAUAAUCAUAAUAUAUUAUUCUAUAAUUAAGGUAUUUGUACUCUUCAAAAAUAAUAUUUUCAUCUCAAAAUACUUGUAGUGUUUCCAUUUACAUACCUUUUAAGAAAACAUUAAUAAAAAAGAGUUUAGUUCAUCCUUAUUUAUGUUUUACUCUCUUCAUUGAAUAAUUACUCUGUGAACUUCUAAAAUGAUAACUAUUCUGAGACAUAAUUUUAGUAAAAGGUCUAAAGACGACAAAAUAUUUUGAGACGAAAGAAAUAUCUUCCAAGGGUGAAAUGGAAAAAAUAAUUAAUUUUGUCCCAAAUAUUUAAAACGAUAAAUAAUUUUAAAAUAUUAUUAUAAAAAUUAGUGUUUCCAUUACAUACCUUUUAAGAAAACAUUAAUAAAAAAGAGUUUAGUUCAUCCUUAUUUAUGUUUUACUCUCUUCAUUGAAUAAUUACUCUGUGAACUUCUAAAAUGAUAACUAUUCCGAGACAUAAUUUUAGUAAAGGGUCUAAAGACGACAAAAUAUUUUGAGACGAAAGAAAUAUCUUUCAAGGGUGAAAUGAAAAAAAAAAUUAAUUUUGUCCCAAAUAUUUAAAACGAUAAAUAAUUUUAAAAUAUUAUUAUAAAAAUCAAGAUAGAUAACUUAAGACUGAGGGAGUAUUACUGGAAGAAAUUAAUUUCAAGAUAUAUUUAAUUCUAAGAAGAAUACGAUAGAAAGGACAAUAAGUUGCCUUUUCCAACACUAGAUGUCGAGGAACUUAAUAUUUUCUUUUCAUUUGGUGUUUAGUACUCCCUCCAUUUCAUAAAGAAUGACUUCCUUUCCUUUUUAGUCAGUUUCAAAAAGAAUGACCUCUUUCCUUUUUUGGUAACAUUUUACUUUUUGCUUUCCACGUGGCAUGUUUAAGACCACAAGAUUAAGGGCAAUUUUGUACAAUUUUAACAUAACUUUAAUUUAGGACCACAAGAUUCAAAAGUCUUCUUUAUUUACUUAAACUCUGUGCCAAGUCAAACCAGGCCAUUCUUUGUGAAACGAAGGGAGUAUUUAUUUUGAAACACGAUUAAUUUGAAUUAGCGUUUGAAAGUCACAUAUUGAGAGUAAAACAUUUUGUAUCAAAGACGACUUCAUAUUCAAAAUUUGAAUUCAAUUUUCUUAAUUAUGAAUAAGAAAGUACUUAUUACUCUAUCAUGAUCCGUGGCAAUAAAAUGCCGAGGACUCAAUCAUGUAAAAGAAUCAUAAUUAGAGCCCCACCCUUUUUGUUUUGUUUUCCAGUAUUAUGUUUAACAUUUUGGACUCUUCUAGCACGAUUAAUUAAAGUUCAUGCAUUAACAUAAGUACAUCGUAAUUAGCAUGUCAUCAUCACAAUUUAUUAAUUGGAUAAUUAAGUACCAAAUCCAUUUUGUCUAGGCGUGCUCUUUGUGGUCAGAACACCAAAAUUGGCCAUUUGAUGAAUUAUUUUUAAAAAACUUUGAACUCACAAUGAGGAAAUAUAAAUGAUAAAACGAAAAAGAUAUUUAAAUAAAUAGUAAUUUCUAAAUUAAGAAAAUAAUUUCACUAUUAUAUGUCCAAAGUGGUUAUUUCCGUUUGGCCAAACCCAUCGGUGACCUCCUAAAGUUGGCACCAAGUUUCACUUAGAUACCUCAACUAGGCGAUGUUCAUUUUAGACACCUCAUGUAAAGUUCUAUUGUGUCAUUUUGACACAUUUUGCUGACAUGUCAAAGUGAGUGUGAUACACUCAACAAUAGCGCGUGAAAAGCUUAAUUUAGCCAUUGUUUUUUCUUUUUCUCUUCUUCUUCUCCAUUUUUCAAGCCACCAUCCCCCACCAUUUUUUCAAGCUUAAACUUAUUCAAUGGAGGUAGAAUUUCUUUAUUCAAAUUUGUUUUUAAGUCAUUUUUCUUCUUCUUCAUUGUAUUACUUUUCUAAAUCUACCAUCACCUCCCUCCAUUUUUUGCCGGAAAAAUGGAUACCAACACCCAUAUUUCAUAUUUAUUGUCUCUUUCUUUCUUCCUCUCUCUCUUUUCUUCUAAAAAAACAACACUAAAAAGAAAAAAAAAGAAUAAAUAUGAAAAAUAGUAAAAGAAAAAAAUAAAAAAAUUUAAAAAGCACAAAAGAGAUUUUGAGUGUAAUGAAAAAAAAAGAGUUUCUUAGAAUAAUAUUUUUAUUUUAUUUACUAAAUAUAUUUUAAAAUAAUUAUUAACUGAAAAUAACACAUGUAAUUAUUUAAUUGAUUGUUUGUCACGUCAUCAACAAGUGUAUUACACUCUCCUUCAGUUUUUUGUUUAUUGUCAGAAAAAUGUCAAAAUAAUAUAACGGGAUCCUACAUGAGGUGUCUAAAAUAAACAUCGCUUAAUUGAGAUGUCUAAGUGAAACUUAUUGCCAACUUUAGGAGGGCAUCGAUGAUUUUGGCCUUUCCAUUUUUGAAGUAAGCUGAUUCACCAUUUGUACUACAAGUUGACAAAUUUGGCCUUAUUAUUGAAACAUGUGUCAAAUAGAAGGGUUGAAUUGAAUUUAAGCACGUCAAAAUAGACUGAGUUAAUGAAUGACGGAUUAUUGACUCACUCAAGAAUUACUAAUUAACUGAAAUAGUCCAAAAUGUUGGAUAUAUAUAUUUGAGUUUCAGUUCAAAGUUAAUUUAUGUAUAUGUGUAUCUGUGUAUGAGAUUGGGAGAGAGAAGAGAGAAGAGAGAAGAGAGAGAAGAGAGAGAUUCAGAUUUCGAAGAGGGAGAAGAUUGUGAAUAUGUGCAUCUUAAUGAAUAUCUCAAUUUUUCAUUGAGAUACAUGUUGUAUUUGAGAUAUAGACUACUUAUCUCUCUCGAUCUCGCACAUAUCUUUUUGCUUUAAAACUGUUAUUAUGGAUUAUAAUUGGGCAAAAUAUUAUAGCCAUCAUAUAUAAUUAUGAUCCAAACUAUAAUUAUUUAUCAAAAUUCCUCUUUUAAUAAAUGGGCGAUUACCCAUUGUCAUAAUGAGCAUAAACACACAUUAAAAAUAACAAAGACUAAGAACCAAAAAACAAAAA